GUUAAGUGAGAUAACCAAACUUGAUUUCUUUUUUAGUUUUAGUAGAGUUCCAAUGAAAAACGAAAAAUCACCCAAUUGAAGGAAAUGCCCGAAUUUUAUAUUUCAAGGAUCAAUAAAAUAAGAGGUUUUGUCGUUAUAGAACACAGAAUUCAAUGGAAGCAAUGAUAAAAAAAUACAAAUAGAAAAGGAAAGGGAGGAAAUACAAAAAAAUAGAAGAGAAAAGUCAUACAAAGUUAUAUACAAAUGACUACCCCCCUUUUGUAUUUCCUUAAUUUAUUUCCUUAAUUGAAUUUCGGUUGAUUAGGACGAAGUUCCUUAAAAACCUUCGCCUUCUUUAAAAUAUCCUGAACAGUUCCAGUAGGUUGAGCCCCUUUUUCAAGGUUUGCUGAGUUCCUUAAAGAGAGUUGUCUCGCGCCCCUAGGUAUUCUCUACCUAUUCUAACAAAAAUUCAUUUUUGGGGUGCAACAAGAGUUUGUAUUCUCAAAUGAUAUCAGAGGGAUUUGCGUUUAUUGUGGAAAUUCUGUUUUCUCUACGAUUAAUAUCUUCUUUAUCUUCUUUCGAAGGCAAAAAUAUUUUUAAAUCUCAUUAUUUACGAUCAAGGGAUAAUUUUUCACAUCUAAAUUAUGUACACCAAGCUCGGGAUGGAUUGGUGUGGUUCCUCUAUGCCUAGGACACCAGAAUAUCGAACCAUGAACGAAGAAAGGUAUGAGGGAAAAGCAUAUUGGCUAGUGAUUGUAAGGCCCUAAUUCUUGACUGGAGGGGUUACCAUAGGCCUCUGCCCUUCCAUCCCUUGGAUAGAUAGAGAGAGAGGGCAGAACUUUUGAUUUUUUCAUGUUGUCAAAGAGUUGAACAAUAGUUUUUUCGAGGACCGUAGGUGCGAUGAUUUACUUCACGGGCGAGGUCUCUGGUUCAAGUCUAGGAUGGCCCAGCUGCGCCAGGGAAAAGAAUAGUAGAAGCAUAUGACUACUUCAUGCAUGCUCCACUUGGCUCGGGGGGAUAUAACUCAGUUGGUAGAGCUCCGCUCUUGCAAUUAGGGAAAAAUGAAGCUUGGGUGAAACUAAGUGGAGGUCCGAACCGACUAAUGUUGAAGAAUCAACGGAUGAGUUGUGGUUAGGGUUGAAAUGCCACUCGAACCCAGAGCUAGCUGGUUCUCCCUGAAAUGCGUUGAGGCGCAGCAGUUGACUGAAGUCUAAAGAAAAAUCAUUAUUGAUCAUCCAAGAUGGUUCACUAAUAGACCGAGGGCUAAGUCAUUCGACUCAUUCACGUCCAGAUCAUGAAUGUUUGAAUCCAUAUUAUGUAAGGAGACAUUGCUUUUGCUAAUUCGAAUUGAAGAGUGAUAUAAAAUCAGUCUAUUUCCGGCAUCAUAUCCAUAAUUAGCCCAUUCAUCCUAGUUAGCAGUUCCAGCUCCGUAUCAAGGUCACGAUCGAUAUUGUCACUAGCAUCAAGAUUGUUACUAUCAUCAAUAUCGUCAUCAUCAAUAUCGAUCUCAUUAAGAAGAAAACUUUUAGGCUUGUUUUCCUUUUCUUAAAAUAGAAAAAAAUACAUCCACUUCUUUCUUACCGAGAAUUUCCGAAAAAUACUAAUUUAUUUUUACGACGGGUUCUAUAUUUAUAUAUUUUAUAUAUAAUUGUAUAUAAGUAUUUUCUAUAUAAUCUAUAAGAGAAGUCUUUUCCUUUUAUUUUACUAUUCUAUGUUAAAUGAGACAAAAAAGAUGAAAUGAGCAGAAAAUUUGUAUAUAUCAAUGGAGGAAAUAACCAUGUGGAAAACAAGACAGGAAUUCCCUACAAUUACAAUGUGGAACAAUUGAAGGGAUGUGACGUAGCUUGAUGUUCUCUUAUUUGCCGAUGCAGUUUCUAAAUCCGCCCAAUUCCCCCUUCGUGUAUGGUUACCUGAUGCCAUAGAGAGGCCUACUCCCAUUUCGGCUCUUAUACAUGCUGCUACUAUGGUAGCGGCGAAAUUUUUUCUUGUAGCUCGGCUUGUUCCUCUUUUCAGAAUUAUACCUUACAUAAUAUAUUUGAUCUCGUUUAUAGGAGUAAUAACAGUAUUAUUAGGAGCUACUUUAGCUCUUGCUCAAAAAGACAUUAAGAGAGGUUUAACCUAUUCCACAAUGUCUCAAUUGGGUUAUAUUAUGUUAGCUCUUGGUAUGGGGUCUUAUAGAAGCGCUUUAUUUCAUUUGAUUACUCAUUCUUAUUCCAAAGCAUUAUUGUUUUUAAGAUCUGGAUCCAUUAUUCAUUCAGUGGAAAUUAUUGUUGGAUAUUCUCCGGCUAAAAGCCAGAAUAUGGGUCUUAUGGGAGAUUUAAGAAAACAUGUAUCAAUUACCAAAAUUAUAUUUUUAUUAGGUACACUUUCUCUUUGUGGUAUUCCACCUCUUGUUUGUUUUUGGUCCAAAGAUGAAAUUCUUAAUGAUAGUUGGUUGUAUUCGCCAAUUUUCGCAAUAGUAGCUUGGGCCACGGCGGGAUUAACUGCAUUUAUAUGUUUCAGAUCUAUUUACUUACUUUUGAAGGGCAUUUAAAUGCUCAUUUUCAAAAUAAUGGUGGGAAACAAAAAAACCCCUUCUAUUCAAUAUCUCUAUGUGGCAAAAGUGGAGUUAAGAAAAACUCUUAUUUAUUAACUAUGAAUAAUAAUGAAAGUACUUAUUUUUUUGCAAAAACUAAAUAUCCAAUUGAUAAAAAUGGAAGAAACAUGAUACAAACUUUUAUGACUAUUGCUCGUUUUGAGCAUAAAGCGGUUUAUUCCUAUCCUUAUGAAUCGGACAUUACUAUGCUAUUCCCAAUAUUUAUAUUAGAACUCUUUACUUUGUUUGUUGGAUCUCUAGGAAUUCCUUUCAACCAAGAGGGAGGGAAUUUGGAUAUAUUAUCGAAAUGGUUAGCUCCAUCUAUAGAUCUUUUGCAUCAAAAGUCGAAUAAUUCGAUGGAUUGGAAUGAAUUUUUAAAGGAUGCAGUUCUUUCAGUCAGUAUAGCUUAUUUCGGAAUAUUUAUAGCAUCCUUUUUAUAUAAACCUAUUUAUUCUUCUUUAAAAAAUUUUGAGUUAAUUAAUGCUUUUGUUAAAAAGGGUCCUGAGAGAAUUCUAUGGAACAAAAUUAUAAAUGGCAUAUAUGAUUGGUCAUAUAAUCGUGCUUACAUAGAUGCUUUUUAUACAAGAUUCUUAGUUGGUGGGAUUAGAGGAUUAGCUGAAUUUACUCAUUUUUUUGAUCGACGAGUAAUUUAUGGGAUGACUAACGGGGAAGGGGUAAAUUAGUUUCAUUGUAGGAGAAGGUAUCAAAUAUAUAGGGGCGAACACAUCUCUUCUUAUCUUUUCUUGUAUUUAGCUUAUGUUUCAGUCUUUUUAUUAGUUUAUUACUUACUCUUUUCAACUUUGUGAAUCAAAUUCCUUAUUUUUUUUAAUUCACAAUUACAAUUAUAGCAUGUCUCUGUAAGGUGAGAGUGGAAUUUAUCCUUUAUUUUAUCCUUUUCAUUCACUCGGAUUUCUUCCGUUUCAUCGAUUUUGUCCGGAUCCCACCUUUCUUCCGAAAAAAGGGAAGGGGAAGGAUAAGGAUCUUCUUCAGUGGAUCCCUCUUGUUCCUGCUUAGUCCCUUUAAUUUUGGAUGUUGUUUCUAUUUCUACAUCUCUUUCUACUUCAAUUUCUACCCUUUCUUCUAUUUUUGAGGCUUCUUUUAGUUUCUUAGUAAGAAUGGGUGAGGGUAUUCUUCCAAAAUAGUAGACAUAGAUAAUAAAUAAGAGAAUACUAAAGAUCCGAGCCAUAGAAUUUCUCAAUUCUAACACAAGGUACUUAUUAGAUAGAAUGUACUUAUUCGAUCUAAUAGAAUGAUUUUGCCGUAUCCUGACUAAUACCAAUCCAAGCCAUUUUAUGAAUAAAAUGUGACCAAUUAACCAACCAACAAAAUUCCUUGUUACAAAUAAGAUCUUUAUGUUGCAUCGAAAGAGAUAAAUGUUGACUAAUCUGGCUAACAUUGAACUUGGUAAAAUGAAAUAAUUGAAUAAUUGAAAAAUGAGAUUAUUCAGGAAUACACAUUGAAUGCUGAGAUUACGCAUUGAAUUUUUGGUAGUAGAUCCAUAACCAAAAAAGUGUUUGGGAUUGUUCCAGAAGAAAUGAAACAAAAGAUAUGGUAGAGCUAGGACAGUUAUUGUAUGAGGUCUACUCAAUGCUAGAUGCAGAGGCGCAUAAUAGAUCGAUAUGAACAUCAUGAGUUGUCCCGUAAUAAAACCGAUUGUUGCUGAUACCUUCUUCUUGGUUCCUUCUUCCAUAACCAGAGCUCGGAGAAGGAAGAGAUGGCCCUAUGGAGAAUGUGGUCAGAAAUCCAUAAUAGAGUCCAACCACAACUACCAAAUUGAUUAUCUUCAUGCAUAAGGAUACUAGAUUACCUAGUAGAAAAGAUUGAAAAAUCAUCACAAACCUCCCUUAUUUCUUUUCUAUUGCAAUUUUUGGAUUAUUAUAUGAUGAUUUUUGAACUUUCCAUAUAUAGAAAAGAAAUAGAAAGAGAUAGACUAGAAACGAUAUAUGUUAUGUCAAUGACACCAAAAGGAUAUUAAAUGAAUGAAAUUGGUAUAUGGAUGCAAUAUAAUGAAAUAGAGCCACUUUGAGAUUCCCUCUGAAAUGAUGCAUGUAAGGGAGCCACUACGAAGAAGUUCUGGGAGUUACAAAGGAAGCUUCGAGUUCAUAUUGGUCAUGGGUUGGGAUGCGAAUUGAACUCUAUGAGAUCGAAUCUCCUGUUGUUCCUCAGUAGCUCAGUGGUAGAGCAGUUGGCUGUUAACCGAAGAGUAUUUGACUUUCAUUAUUUUUAUUUCAUUUUUUUUAAAUUGGAGUAGUGUGACUAUGUUACUAUUUAUAGAUUUCAAUGCCAUAAGACGUAUCAAUAGUUUUCUAUUCUAAAUAGAAAGAAAGUCAAAUUUGUUUAAAUACUAAACAUAAGGAAGCAGAGGAUAGAUGCGAGGAACAAAAAAUUCUAUGAGGAAUUAUUUGUCUUCCUAGUCUUUGACACAAGAAAGGGUGUAGAAAAAUCCUUUUUUCUUGUGUCGAAAUGAAAGAGUAAUGAUUCUUGAUCAUGUUUGUUAAAAAUUCCUAGUCUUGGUUUCGAUUUUUCCAGAUGAUUCAGAAACCCUUUACCUUACCCCCACCCCGCCUUAUGUAGUUGGAAUUGGAUCAAUACUUCCAAUUGGAUAAGUAUGAAUAAAGGAUCCAUGGAUGAAGAUAGAAAAUUGACUUCUAAUCGUAACUAAAUCUUCAAUUUCUUAUUUGUAAAGAAGAAAUUGAAGCAAAAUAGCUGUUAAACGAUAAGUUUGGUUUACUAGAGACAUCAACAUAUUGUUUUAGCUUGGUGAAAACAAAAUCCUUUUCCUCAUGAUCCUAUUAAAUAGAAAUAGAGAACGAAAUAACUAGAAAGGUUGUUAGAAUCCCCUUCUUCUAGAAGGAUCAUCUACAAAGCUAUUCGUUUUAUCUGUUUUCAGACCAAAAGUUGACAUAGAUGUUAUGGGUAGAGUUUUUUUUUUCGAAUUUUGUUCACAUCUUAGAUCUAUAAAUUGACUCAUCUUCAUAAAGGAUCCGAAUGAAACCAAAGUUUCAUGUUCAGUUUUGAAUUAGAGACGUUAAAAAUAAUGAAUCGACGUCGACUAUAACCCCUAACCUUCCAAAGUAAUGAUGCGGGUUUGAUUCCCGCUACCCGCUCUAUAUCUGUUUAUUCUAAAUAUUUUAAUGUAUUCAUUAAAUCAAAUUUAGUUUAUUAGUAUUAGUACAUCAUUGAAUAUAUAGUUCCGAAAAUUCUUUCACAUCCGAUUCUUUCUGGGUUUUUUUCAAACAAAAAGUUAAAAUACGAAAAAAAAAAUCAGAAUGAAAAGCAUCCAUUGUCUAAUGGAUAGGAUAGAGGUGGUCCCCCCCGGACCAUCCAAAUCCCACAAGUGAAUCGAAAGUUGAAUCUACAUUCGAUCUCACCCGAAUCGCCCCAUCUAUCCUCCUGAGGAGGAGUUUGGUUUCAAACCCCUGUUCAAACAAGAGGAGUACGCCAUGCUAAUAUGCCUUGGAUGAUCCACAUCUCAGGGUCAGGCUCCAAUGAGCACAUUGAACUAUCCAUGUGGCUGAGAGCCCUCACAGCCCAGGCACAACGACACAAUUAUCAGGGGCGCGCUCUACCACUGAGCUAAUAGCCCAUCGUGCGAGCCUCCCACUGGGGGACCGCUAUGCCAAAAGCAAAAGAAACCCCAUCCCUCUCUUUCCUUUUUUCUCCCCCAUGUCGCCACAUAGGGGGAAUAUAGAGACGUAAAAGGGGGUCCUAUUAACUUGUUCCGACCUAGGAUAAUAAGCUCAUGAGUUUGGUCUUACUUCACCGUCGAGAAAUGAAAGAAGACUUCCAUCUCCAAGUUUAACUCAAACGUAGCUCCCUUCUUUUUUUGGGGGGAUGUGAAGCAGUGUCAAACCAAAAUACCCAACAAGCAUUAGCUCUCCCUGAAAAGGAGGUGAUCCAGCCGCACCUUCCAGUACGACUACCUGGUUGGUCCGGGUGGAGAGAAAAAAAAACGAAUAGAACUUAAAAUCUUUUCUAGAGAUAUCCAUUUUCUUGGAGAGAUAGAUAAGAUAUCCCGACAUACCGGCAUUUUGAUACCACUAGGAACAGGAAAAAGAAAUUCCAAGGAAUCCAAAAAAGUGAAAAAUUGGAUCUAUGUCCAACGGAUUACACCUAGCAAGAAAAAGUUUUUUGUUUUAGUUCGACCUGUCGUCACAUAUGAAAUAACAAACGGUAUAAAUUUAGCAACUCUUUUUCCACCAGAUGCAUUGCAGGAAAGGGAUAACGUGCAGCUUCGAAUUGUCAAUUAUAUCCUUUAUGGAUAAAUCAGAAAUACAGAAACAAAAACAACAAUUGGACUAGAGAAUGCGAUUGCAUUAUAAGGUCUCAAUUGAACAGAUUGAGCAAGCUCGAAUUGACGUAACAUGAAACCUAUUAGGCCAAAAGCUCCAUGGAGAGCAACAAAAGUCCACAAGGGAUUCCCAGCAUCUCGUAGAAAAAGAGUGUAAUGUAGAUUUUGAAGAAGAGUAUUUGACUUUCAUUAUUUUUAUUUCGUUUUUUUUAAAUUGGAGUAGUGUGACUAUGUUACUAUUGACAGAUUUUAAUGCCAAAAGACGUAUCAAUAGUUUUCUAUUCUAAAUAGAAAGAAAGUCAAAUUUAUCUAAAUACUAGACAUAAGGAAGCAGGGGAUAAAUGCGGGGAACAAAAAAUUCUAGGAGGGAUUAUUUGUCUUCCUAGUCUUCGACACAAGAAAGGGGUGUAGAAAAGUCCUUUUUCUUGUGUCGAAACGAAAGAGUAAUGAUUCUUGAUCUUGUUUGAUAUUUCCCUUUAACUAUUCAUGUCAACUAUUCUUGAGCAAUGGUGACUCAUUAUUUCGAUGAAUCAUUUCUUCGGACAAAAUAAGAUUAUGUAAACACUUACUCGAGAUCUCACUUAUCAGAUUCCAUUUUGGAAGACACAAUUUUUUCUGAAGAAUUCGCCAUGAUAUACCUGAUCCUUGCAUAAUAUCAUGAAAAAUAGAUACAAAUUUUUGACUGCUACUUAGUAUUGGCAAUAGUUCUAAAAAAGUAUCUAAAAAUAUCAAAUUUAGAUAUUUGUACCCUGUCGAAGUAAGGAACCAUGGCAUAUAUGUUUGGAAUAGAUUCCAUUUUGAGAGAGUUGAAAAAGCACUAUCUCAUUGAAAGGUUCUAUACAUCUGCCCUUUCUCAACGCAUUUCUUUAGACAAAGACUGCAUUUUUUCCUCUUUUUGGAUGAUAAAUCUUUCUCAAAACAUGGAGUGUGAAUCAAACCCAUGUUUGAAUUGAAAUUGAGAUACUGAUGCAAGUUCUUCCCUUCUGAAUCAGAUAGAUUCAUAUCUGAAAAAAGUUGACAAUAAGUUCUUUCAAAAUUGACUAUUUGUCCCUCUGUUAAAGGUGUUCCAGAAAUGUUUGCGAUCGAGUAAAUAGCUCUAUGAACGAAUGGAUCGGAUUGACUUGGAAAAUGAAAAGAUUUGUACAAGAUAUACGUUUCGUCACCACUUUGUGGAAAAUUGUUAGGUAUGAAUAUGUUAGAUACCUGUGACUCGAGUGGUGAAAUAGUAUCUCUCCCCCAAAAAGCAUGUUUUUUUUACCGAGCACAAAGAAAAUAUUUUGUUAUGAAUGAACAAGAUAUUGAGGAAUUGUCCAUACGUAAAAUCAGAAUUAUUGAUAUGGGCCUUUUCCACAGAAAAGAGGAAUCAUGUGUUCCAAUAGAAGCAGAAGUGAUGUGGAUUAUUCAAGAAUCAAAGUCGAUUUGCUUUAUAAAAAGAAGAUAUCAAUGAAAUUCUAUGAAAUGGUUUCACAGGAUUCAGCCAAUUGUCUUGAUCGUGGAAUAUCAUUAAGAAAUAGGAAUCCGGGUUAUCAAAGGAUUUCCUGCGAUUAUUUCUAGUAUAAUGAGUCAAUCAUCCACUUUGGUAUCUUAUUGAACAAAAAUGAUGAUAUUGUUCCUCCAUUGAUCAAGAAUUUUGAUUUUUGGGAAGUAUCAUGAUCGUCCAAUAAGAAGGGUUUCAAUUUUUUUCAAAUGAACAAUUUGAAGACCUAUUGAUUCUAACAACUGAUUGCAGAGUUGAUCAUUCGGACCUUUCAAUUCAUAGAUGUAGAUCUCGGACCUGUGAACUACUUCAACAAGUCUGCGAGUGAGAUAUCCAGCGUCUGAUGUUUGUACAGCAGUAUUCACAACUCAUUUAUGGGCUCUGUAGCAAGAAAUGAUGUAUUCUGUUAAAAAGAGUCCUUCGCGUAAAUUGCUUUGAAUAGUCAAAAUCAAUCAUUUUCCCUUGAGGAUCUGACAUUAAUCCUCUCAUACCUACUAAUUGAUGUACCUGAGAUGCAUUUCCUCCAGCUCAUGAGAAAGACAUUAUAUGAACUGGAUUAAAAGGGUCAGUCAUCCUAAAAUUAGGAUUCAUUUCUUGUCGCAAUUAGUCACUUGUAGCAUACCAUAUUUCAAUGGAUUGGCGUAAUUUUUCUACUGCGUGUACAUUCCCAAAUGAUGGUGUUUUUCCAAAAUCAAACUUUGUUGUUCAACAUCUUGAACUAGCCAUCACUUAGAAAGUAUUGUUAAAAGAUCAUCAAUUCCUAAUGAAAUGGAUGUAGCAGUAGCUUGUUGGAACCCCAGAGUUUUUACUUGAUCCAGGAUAUGUGAUAUAUAUGUCAUUCCGAAGUGAUCUAUUAAUCUACUAAUAAGUCAUUUCAUGGAAGUUCCGUCUAUCUCUUUAUUGUGAAAGACCAGAUUGACCCGUUCCACCAUAAGUACCUCCAUAUUCCGCUAAGUAGAAUUCGACAAUGGGUUUGAGUCAGUGAUUGUAAAACUUCCUUUUAUCGAUCUUGAUUCGCGUAUAAUCAGAUUUUCUUCGAAUAUGUUCUCAACUUAUUCGAGAUGUGAGUAAAACUCAAAUUGGCGAAGAAUAUGGGCCAUGGGUUCCUUUUAUUGGCACUAUGUUUUUAUUUAUUUUUGUUUCUAAUUGGUUAGAAGCUCCUUUACCUUGGAAAAUCAUACAAUUACCUCAUAGGGAGUUAGCCGCACCCACGAAUGAUAUAAGUACUACUGUUGCUUUGGCUUUACUCACAUGAGUGGCAUAUUUCUAUGCGAGUCUUACAAAAAAGGAUUAGGUUAUUUCGGAAAAAAUAUUCAACCAACCCCAAUCCUUUUACCCAUUAACAUCUUAGAAGAUUUCACAAAAUCUUUAUCACUUAGUUUUCGACUUUUCGGGAAUAUCUUAGCUGAUGAAUUAGUAGUUGUUGUUCUUGUUUCUUUAGUACCUUUAGUAGUUCCUAUACCUAUCAUGCUCCUUGGAUUAUUUACAAGUGGUAUUCAAGCUCUUAUUUUUGCAAUUUUAGCCGCAACUUAUAUAGGUGAAUCCAUGGAGGGCCAUCAUUGAAAUAGUCUUAUUUAGCUUAGCCCAAAGCAAUGUAUAAAUAUGGUGGGUGGCUCAAGAGAAUUACUUAACUUAGGGAAUAAAAUAGGGGAAUCUAAAUAUACAACUAUUUUAUAUACGAUCUAGAAUGAUAGCAAAAAAAUUAUGAUGAUAUUAAAGAGUAANNNNNNNNNNNNNNNNNNNNNNNNNUAAUUUUUGUCAAUAAUUAUAAUUCUUGUUGUAUAGGUUUACGACGUGUAAUUAAAUUAAAUUAAAUAAAAAAGGGUGAAACGAUUUCCUUUUCAGUUGAUUUUAUUCCACGAUUGACCAAAAUAUUAAUAAUUAAUAAAUAAAUUAUUUAUUUUUAUUAAUAAAUUGCAUGGACUUAGAUCAAUCAAAUAAUGAUAUUUCUAUACAUAUGGAAUUAUGCGGCCUAAUCAAUUUGUCCAUUUAGAUUUAUCUAGGUGGAAUAACAAGAAAAGGUAAGGUUCAAAAGAAUUUACAAAAAAAGGACUUUUUGAGUAUUUUAGAAAGGGUCGGUUAGGAGAGGGAGGUAUAUGUAAUUGAAUAACUAUAAGCCGACCCUUCUAGAUGUUUCGACACUUGAUUCUCGAAUAGGAAUGAAUCUAAGAUGAAUGCUUGGUUUACGUUAUGGAAGAAAGACAUGUAUAUGUGAUAUUAGAUAUUGACUAGUGCUAGUUAUAUAUGAAAUGAACAAAAGAUAUAUUUUACUACUCUAGGGGAUUCUAAUAUACUAGAAGUCCUUCCGGCCCCUUGUGACUGUGAAUUGAAUGAAUAAACGGAUGAAAUCAAGAAAUAAUUCAACUAACAGUUUGAACCAAGAAAUGGAAGAACGAAAGUCGUAUGGGUUAAGAAAGACUCUAUGGCUAAAAAGUAAAAAAUAUAUAUCGAAGUAGUUCUGAUGAUUCAAUAAUCUUAUUACUUCAAUCCGAAGUUCUUAGUUACUUCGACUGGAUGAGUCCUAGCGAAGGAAUAAUUAAGUCAUAACUCAUUGGUUGAUUGUAUCAUUAACCAUUUCUUUUUUUUUUUGGUACGAGGAACUUAUCAUGAAUCCACUGAUUUUUGCCGCUUCCAUUAUUGCUGUUGGAUUGGCCAUAGGGCUUGCUUCUAUUAGACCCGGAGUUGGUCAAGGAACUGCUGCGGGUCAAGAUAUAGAGGGUAUCGCGAGACAGCCUGAGGCAGAGGGAAAAAUUUGUGGUACGCUAUUGCUUAGUCUAGCUUUUAUGGAAGCAUUAACAAUUUAUGGACUGGUUGUAGCAUUAGCACUUUUAUUUGCGAAUCCUUUUGUUUAAUCUUAGCUUAGAAAUUUGAAAAAUAAAUACAUUUUUCAUAUUUUAUUGCCUUCGACUUAUUGUUUGCUUUUUAAAAUUCUAUCAAGAUUUCCCUCCUCCAAUUCUUUAUUCUUUGAGAAAAGAACCUACGGGAAGGGCUGAUUAGCGGAUGAGGAAUUAGCAUACUGACACACUUUCAUCCUUCCCGUUCAUAGACCAAGGUAAUGUCACGACCCGGUUUUCCCACCCUUGGGAGUCAUGAUGGCGCCUACUCGUAGAAGCUAGGCAAACCACUAAACAUAGAAAAUUUCUAACUCUUUCAUUUUUAAUCUUUUUUAACAAUAUGAAUUAACAGGUAUCCAACAUUUAGAUAUUAACGAUAAAUGAAAUCAAGCAGAAGACUUAAUCUAAUAUAAUAACCAAGACCAGUACGAUAAUGACAACACACAUCUCUCCCCGGAAUCUGGUGUCACAAUAUCAUGGACGGACUAAGAUUACUACAACAAAUGUCUGAAACAAAUACAAUUUGUCUCGAAAUCUAAUGAAAACAGAGUACAUAAUAAAGUAGAAGAGAGCGCCGGGCCUGCGGACGCUUGCAGGACUACCUCGGGAUCUCUGGAUGGACUGAAAGCAGGCUCCCCAAGUGCUACUGUCCAAAAGCUACUUCGAAAUCUGCAGAUAGUGCAGAGUGUAGCAUCAGCACAACCGACCCUGUGUGCUGGUAAGUGCCUGGCCUAACCCCGGCAAGGUAGUGACGAGGCUAGGAACAAACUCCAGAUAAACUUGUGCAGUUAUAUAAUAUAUAGCGGAAAAUAAAAAGGAAUAAACAAUUAACAUGGGAGGGGUACAUGCUACGAGGGAAAUAUCAAAUCCUGCAGAAACUUAAGAGAAAUAUGAGAGAACAAUUCAAGAUUUACAACAAAGCCAUAAUAACACUGUUGCGGCGCGCAACCCGAUCCCUAUCAUUUAACACUGUUGCGGUGUGCAACCCGAUCCAUUUAUAUCACUAUUGCGGCGUGCAAUCCGACCCAAUAUAACAUUGUUGCAGCGUGCAACCCGAUCCAACAUAACAUUGUUGCGGCGUGCAACCUGUUCCAUAUAUAGUAUUGUUGCGGCAUGCAACCCGAUCCAACAUAACAUUGUUGCGGCAUGCAACCCGAUCCAUAUAUAGUAUUGUUGCGGCGUGCAACCCGUUCUACAUAUAGUAUUAUUGCGGCUUGCAACCCUAUCCAACAUAACAUUUAUAUACCUUUAGCAACAACCAUACCAAGAGUCCCGGCAAGGGAACAACAAUAAGCUACACUAUCCCGACAAGGGAUUCAACAGUAAAAGUAAAUACGUCCCGACAAGGGAGAAACAACUAUAACCAAUCUUAACCCAACUUCUACUCAUAUCAGCUAACACCAAUACUCAAUCAUAAGUGAUUUCCACGAAAACAAACUUAAUCCUUGCUCAAUAUCAAGAAUCAUCAUUUAAAACAUCUGUAGUACUAUUUAAGAACACAAAAUAAAUUGCAAUUUAAGACUCACGGUCAUGCUCGACACCAACGUAUAGAUACUCGUCACCAUGCGUAUAAGUCGUACUCAACAAGAAGCAAAUAGCAAAUAGGACACAACUCCUAAUCCCUCAAGCUAAGGUUAGACCGAAAACUUACCUCGAACUUCCACGGAUAACUCAAGCCUCAAACACCGCCUUUCCUUUUGAAUUUGACUCUAAAUCAAUUGUAUCUAGACAUAAUCGACUUACUAACAUCAAUAAACGCUAAUCAAUCCAAUUCUAAUGCUUAAUUAUAGCUUUCCCAUCAUUCUUCCCAAAAAGUCAAAAAUUGACCCCGGGCCCGCUUGUUCAAAACACGAGGUUCAGACAAAAAUCAGAUCACCAUUCACCCACGAGCCCGAAUAUAUUUUUUUUUUGAAAUCCAACCCCGAAACGAGGUCAAAUUCCCAAAUAAUCAAAAAGCCCUAACUCUACCCAAAUCCCUAUCUACCCUUAAUCUCAUGUUUUAAGCCUAGAAAUCUAGUGGGCGUUGAUAAAAAUGGAAGAAAACGAGCUUAGGAUUACAUACCUGUGAAGCUAUGGUGAAGUUCCUCUUCAAAAAUCUCCCAAGAGGUGUGGAGAAGAUGAAGUUUAUGAAAAAUGGUGAAAAUCUCGUAAUGCAUUCUGUUUUUGGAACUUAAAAUAACUGGGCGAAUUUGGUCUUCGCGUUCGCGAUGAGCUAGGCCUGAGAGACCUUCGCAUUUGCAUAAACGAGCUCACGUUCGCGGAGCAUUAACUCCUUGAGCCAUCGCGUUCGCGGCCAGGAGUUCGCUUCGCAUAGGGUAUAAUAUCCCUCCCCCUACCCAGGCUCAUAAGCCUUCGCGUUCGCGUUACCAGGCCCGCGUUCGCAAAGGGAAGACCCCCCAGAGUUCGCAUUCGCAACCUGGGUCACGCAUUCGCGUAGAAGGAAAUUUCUUUCAGCAUGAAUAUCUCAUUGCGUUCGCAAGGGUCCUCCCGCGAACGCGAAGAAGAAAAUACCAGCACACCAGAACUGAAAAAAACCUGCAAAGUUUAUGAGUUCAAAAACCUUCCGAAACUCACCCGAGCCCUCGGGGCUCCAAACCAAACAUACGUACUAACUCAAAAACAUCAUAUGAACUUAUCCGUGCGAUCAAAUCGCCAAAAUAACCCCUUAAACAACGAAUUAAACCUCAAAAUCGAUAAAAUAUUUCAAAUCUUCUUAAAACAUCAAAUUUUGCAUUUAAGGUCCGAUUAACGUCAAAUGACAUCCGUUUCUUACCAAACUUCACAGAAUUAUAUUAAAUCACAUAUAAGACUUGUAUCAGGCGUCAGAACCAAAAAUACAGGCCCGAUACCAACAUGUUCUAAUCAAAAUUCAUUUCCAAAUCCUUUAAACAAUUUGGAAAACAAUUUUCUUUUAAAAAUUUAUUUCUCGGGCUUGGGACCUCGGAAUUCGAUUCCGGGCAUACGCCCAAGUCCCGUAUUUUCCUACGGACCCUCCGAGACCGUCAAAACAUGGGUUUGGGUCCAUUUACCCAAAAAAUUGACCGAAGUCAAAUUAAUUCAUUCUAUAGUCAAAAUUUAUCAUUUUUCACAGAUUUUCACAUAUAAGCUUUCCGGCUACGCGCUCGACUACGCACACAAAUCGAGGUAAUGCUAAAAAAGGUUUUUAAAGCCUCAGAAUGCGGAAUUUUAUUCACAUUCUCCACCUCUAAAACAAUUGUUUGUCCUCGAACGGACAGAAGAAGGAAGUACCUGAGUCCGGGAAAAGAUGGGGAUAACGGCUCCACAUAUCGGGCUCGGACUCCCAGGUCGAUGCCUCAGGAGGCUGACCUCUCCACUGAACACGAACAUAAGGAAAACUCUUCGAUCUCAAUUGAUGAACCUGUCGGUCUAGGAUAGCUACCGGCUCCUCCUCAUAAGACAAGUCCUUGUCCAACUGGACAGUGCUGAAAUCUAACACGUGGGAUGGAUCGCCGUGAUACUUCUAAAGCAUGGAUACAUGAAACACUGGAUACACGAUUGCCAAGCUCGGCGGCAAUGCAAGUCUUAUAAGCCACCUCUCCAACUCAAUCAAGAAUCUCAAACGGGCCAAUGAACCUAGGGCUAAGCUUGCCCUUCUUCCCAAAUCUCAUCACACCCUUCAUAGGCGACACUCGAAGCAAUACUCGCUCACCGACCAUGAAUGCCAAAUCACAAACCUUGCGGUCGGUAUAACUCUUUUGCCUGGACUGAGCUGUACGAAGCAUAUCCUGAAUAAUCCUGACCUUGUCCAAGGCAUCCUGAACUAGAUCCGUACCCAACAACCGAGCCUCUCCCGGCUCAAACCAUCCAACCGGAGACCGACACCACCUACCAUAUAAAGCCUCAUAAGGAGCCAUCUGAAUACUCGAUUGGUAGUUGUUGUUGUAGGCAAACUCUACUAAAGGCAAAAACUGAUCCCACGAGCCUCCAAAGUCAAUGACACAAGCUCGGAGCAUAUCCUCCAAAAUCUAAAUGGUCCGCUCGGACUGCCCGUCUAUCUGAGGAUGAAACACUGUGCUCAACUCAACCCGCGUNNNNNNNNNNNNNNNNNNNNNNNNNGGAAUGAAAUGCGCUAACUUGGUCAGCCUAUCAAUAAUGACCCAUACUGUGUCGAACUUCCUCCGAGUCUGCGGGAGUCCAACAACGAAAUCCAUAGUGAUUCGCUCCCACUUCCACUCGGGAAUCUCAAUCCUCUGAAGUGAACCACCGGGCCUUUGAUGCUCGUACUUAACCUGCUGACAAUUCAAACACCGAGCCACAUAUGUAAGGAUAUCCUUCUUCAUUCUCCGUCACCAAUAAUGCUGCCGCAAAUCCUGAUACAUCUUCGCGGCGCCUGGAUGAAUAGAGUACCGGGAGCUAUGGGCCUCCUCUAAAAUCAACUCUCCGAGUCCAUCCACAUUAGGCAUACAAACUCGACCCUGUAAUCUCAAAAUUCCAUCAUCACCUAAGGUAACUUGCUUGGCACCUCCGUGCUGCAUCGUGUCUCUAAGGACACACAAAUGGGGAUCAUCUUACUGCCGAUCACGAAUACGCUCCAAUAUUGAAGAACGAGCGACUGUGCAAGCUAACACACGGCUGGGCUUAGAAACAUCCAACCUCACAAACUGAUUGGCCAAAGUCUGAAUGUCCAAAGCAAGUGGUCUCUCACUGACCGGAAUAUAAGCAAGACUGCCCAUACUGGCUAACUUCCUACUCAAAGAAUCGGCCACCAUAUUGGCCUUUCCCGGAUGAGAUAAGAUGAUGAUAUUAUAGUCUUUCAACAACUCCAACUACCUCCUCUGCCUCAAAUUCAACUCCUUUUUCUUGAACAAAUACUGAAGACUCUUUUGAUCCGUGAACACCUCACAUGCCACGCCAUACAGAUAAUGCCUCAAAAUCUUCAAUGCGUGAACAAUGGCUGCCAACUCCAAAUCAUGAACCGGGUAGUUCUUCUCAUGAAUCUUCAACUGUCGUGAAGCAUAGGCAAUGACCUUGCCAUCAUGCAUCAACACUGCACCAAGUCCAAUACGAGAUGAAUCACAAUAAACUGUAUAAGGCCCUGAACCUAUGGGCAAAACCAAUACCAGUACCGUAGUCAGAGCUGUCUUGAGUUUCUGAAAGCUCGCCUCAUACUCGUCUAACCAUCUGAACUGGGCACCAUUCUGGGUCAACCUGGUCAUCGGGGUUGCGAUAGAUGAAAACCCCUCCACGAACCAAUGAUAGUAGCCUACCAAUCCCAAGAAACUCCGAAUUUCUGUAGUUGAUGCUGGUCUAGGCCAGUCCUUGACUGCCUCAGUUUUCUUCGAAUCGACUUGAAUACCCUCUACUGAUACAACAUGACCCAGGAAUGCAGCUAAACUCAACCAAAACUCACACUUCGAGAACUUAGCAUAUAACUGACUAUCCCUCAAGGUCUGAAGAACCACUCUAAGAUGUUGCACGUGCUCCUCCCGGCUGCGGGAAUAGAUCAAAAUAUCAUCAAUGAAGACUAUCACGAACAAAUUCAAAUAAGGACAGAACACUCGGUUCAUCAAAUCCAUAAAAGUUGCUGGGACAUUCGUCAAACCGAAUGACAUCACCAAGAACUCAUAAUGCCCGUACCGAGUGCGAAAGGCUAUCUUAGGGACAUCAGAUGCCCUAAUCCUCAACUGAUGGUAGCCAGAUCUCAAGUAAAUCUUUGAAAAUACCUUAGCACCCUGAAGCUGAUCAAACAAAUCAUCAAUCCUUGGCAAUGGAUACAUAUUCUUGAUCGUAACCUUGUUCAACUGCCGGUAAUCAAUACACAUUCUCAUCGAUCUCUCCUUCUUCUUAAAAAACAACACUGGCGCACCCCAAGGCUAAACACUCGGCCUAAUGAAACCCUUCUCAAGCAAGUCUUGCAAUUGCUCCUUCAACUCUUUCAACUCAGGCGGGGCCAUAUGAUACGGCAGGAUAAAAAUGGGCUGAGUGCCCGGAGCCAAAUCAAUGCAAAAGUCAAUAUCUCUAUCGGGUGGCAUACCCGGCAGGUCUGAAGGGAAAACCUCAGGAAACUCAAGAACAACAGGCACAGAAACAAUAGAAGGAACCUCAGCACUAGAAUCACGAACAUAUGCCGAAUAGGCCAAACACCCCUUCUCGACCAUAUGCCGAGCCUUCACAUAAGAAAUAACACUAUGGGUAAAAUGACCAGGAGUCCCUCUUCACUCUAAACGAGGUAAACCCGGUAAGGCUAAGGUCACAGUCUUGGCAUGACAAUCCAAGAUAGCAUGGUAAGGUGAUAGCUAGUCUAUCCCCAAUAUAACAUCGAAAUCAACCAUGUCCAGAAGCAACAAAUCUACGUGGGUCUCAAGACCUCCAAUCACAACUAUACAAGAGCGAUGGACUCGAUUUACCACAAUAGAAUCACCCACCAGUGUAGACACAUAUACGGGGGAACUCAAGGAAUCACUAGGCAUGACCAGAUACGGUGCAAAAUAAGAUGACACAUAGGAGUACGUAGACCCUGGAUCAAAUAAAACGGAAGCAUCUCUGCCACAAACCAGAACAGUACCUAUGAUUACUGCAUCGAAAGUCUCAACCUCAGGCCUGGCUGGAAGAGCAUAACAUUGGGGCUGGGCCCCACCACCUUGGACUACCUCUCUGGGACUGCCUGUAGCUGGCUGGCCCCACCUCUAGCGGUCCGAGCUCCACCUCUAGCACCUCUACCUCCACCUCUCGCACCUCUACCCCCACCUAUAGCUGGCUGGGCGGUUUGUGGAACACCUGGUGCCUGAACUAUAGCACGGGAACCCUGUUGCUGCGACUGAGUACCUACCAAUAUCGGACAAGCUCUCCUGAUAUGACCAUAAUCACCACACUCAAAACAUCCACCUGAGUGUUGCGGCUGAGGAAACUGAGACUGACCCUGGCGACCUGAAUGACCACCCCAAAAACUCUAGAGUGGCGGUGCACUGAUAGGAGCUGGUGGUGCACUGUAGGGCUGCUAAUCCAAAUACUGCAUGUGAGAACCACGGCCACUUGAAGCGCUGACUGAAAGGGCCUAGGAGGAUGGCCUCUACCAUACGAAUCCCUGCCUCUAGACGAGGCACCACUGAAUCUUCCUGAAUAAUGGGGCCUCUUGUCCGACCCAUGACCACCUCCCUGCGAUAGAACCAUCUCCACUCUCCUGGCCACAUUGACCGCCUCUUGGAAAGUAAUCUCACUCCCAGUCUCCCUAGCCAUCUGAAGACGAAUCGGCUAAAUAAGUCCAUCAAUGAACCUCCUCACCCUCUCUCUCUCUCGGUGGGAAGAAUGACAAGAGCAUGACGAGCCAAGUCGAUGAAUCUGGUCUCAUACUGGGUAACAGUAAUGGAACCCUACUGGAGACGCUCAAACUGCCUCCGAUAGGCCUUUCUCUGAGUGAUGGGGAGAAACUUCUCCAAAAAUAGUUGAGUAAACUGCUCCCAAGUCAAAGCUGGCGAUCUGGCUGGUCUAACCAAACAGAAAUCCCUCCACCAAAUCUUGGUGGAUCCAGAUAAGCGAAAAGUGGCAAAAUCAACCCCAUUGGUCUCAACUAUCCCCAUGUUCCUGAGAACCUCAUAACAGCUAUCUAGAUAAUCCUGGGGAUCCUUAGUAGAUCCACCGCUGAAAGUAGUAGUAAAGAACUUGGUGAACCUAUCCAACCUCCACAAGGCAUCGACAGACAUAGCUACUCCAUCACCGGUCUGAGCUACCACACCCAGCUGAACUGCUCCAACUGGCUGAUCUACUGGAGUCUGAAACUGGGGAGCUACCUGCUCCGGGGUGCGAGUAGCAGGAGUCUGGGCUCCUCCUCCAACCUGAGAGAUGGAUGGUGCUACAGGAAGCAAGCCUUCCCGAGUGACACUCUCCAUAAGGCCGACUAGACGGACCAGAGCAUCUUGAAGUACUGGGGUAGCAAUAAACCCCUCUAGGACCUGAGCUGGGCCCACCGGAAAUGCUGGGGCCGGAACCUCAUCACCAAAGUCAACCUGAGGCUCCGCUGCAGGUGCUGCUGCCCUGGGUUGAGCUCUACCCCUAUCUCGGCCUCUAGCACGGCCUCGCCCUCUGUCCCUUAUGGGAGCUGUUGCUGGGGGCUCGGGCUGCUGGUCAGUGGAUGAGGAAGCGCGUGUUCUCGCCAUCUGCGAAAGAACAGAGUAGAAUUUCAAUUAGCAUUGAGAAACCAAUCCGCAUGACAGGAAAGAAUAAAAGUGGAAUGUUUCCUAACUUUGUAGCCUCUGGGGAUAAAUACAUACGUCUCCGUAUCGAUCCCUCAAACUCUACUAAGCUUGUUUGUGAAUUGUGAGACCUAUGUAACCUAGAGCUUUGAUGCCAACUUGUCACGACCCGAAUUUCCCACCCUCGGGAGUCGUGAUGGCGCAUACUUGUAGAAGCUAGGCAAGCCACUAAACAUAGAAAAUUUCUAACUCUUUCAUUUUUAACCCUUUUUAACAAUCUGAAUUAACAGGUAUCCAACAUUUAGAUAUUAACGAUAAAUGAAAUCAAACGGAAGACUUAAUCUAAUAUAAUAACCAAGACCAGUACGAUAAUGACAACACACAUCUCUACUCGGAAUGUGGAGUCACAAAAUCACGGACGGACUAAGAUUACUACAACAAGUGUCUGAAAGAAAUACAAUCUGUCUCGAAAUCUAAUGAAAACAGAGUAAAUAAUAAAGUAGAAGAGAACGUUGGGCCUGUGGACGCCUACAGGAAUACCUCGGGAUCUCUGGCUGGACUAAGGCAGGCUUCUCAAGUGCUACUAUCCAAAAGUUGCUUCGGAAUCUGCACAUAGUGCAGAGUGUAGCAUCAGCACAACCAACUCCAUGUGCUAGUAAGUUCCUGUCCUAACCCCGGCGAGGUAGUGACGAGGCUAGGACCAGAUUCCAGAUAAACCUGUGUAGUUAUAAAAUAUACAUCGAAAAAUAAACAGGAAUAAACAAUUAACAUGGGAGGGGUACAUGCUACGGGGGAAAUAUCGAAUCCAGCAGAAACUUAAGAGAAAUAUGAGAGAACAAUUCAAGAUUUACAACAAAGCCAUAAUAAAACUGUUGCGGCGCGCAACGCGGUCCCUAUCAUUCAACACUGUUGCGGCGUGCAACCCGAUCCAUUUAUAUCACUGUUGCGGCAUGCAAUCCGAUCCAAUAUAACAUUGUUGCGGCGUGCAACCUGAUCCAAGAUAACAUUGUUGUGGCGUGCAACCCGUUCCAUAUAUAGUAUUGUUGUGGCGUGCAACCCAAUCCAACAUAACAUUGUUGCGGCAUGCAACCCAUUCCAUAUAUAGUAUUGUUGCGGCGUGCAACCCGAUCAAACAUAACAUUUAUAUACCUUUAGCAACAACCAUACCAAGAGUCCCGGCAAGGGAUCAACAAUAAGCUACACUAUCCCGGCAAGGGAUUCGACAAUAAAAGUAAAUACGUCCCGGCAAGGGAGAAACAACUAUAACCAAUCUUAACCCAACUUCUACUCAUCUCAGCUAACACCAAUACUCAAUCAUAAGUGAUUUCCACGAAAACAAACUUAAUCCUUGCUCAAUAUCGAGAAUCAUCAUUUAAAACAUCUGUAGUACUAUUUAAGAACACAAAAUAAAUUGCAAUUUAAGACUCACGGUCAUGCUCGACACCAACGUAUAGAUACUCGUCACCAUGCCUAUACAUCGUACUCAACAAGAAGCAAAUAGCAAAUAGGACACAACUCCUAAUCCCUCAAGCUAAGGUUAGACCGAACACUUACCUCGAACUUCCACGACCAACUCAAGCCUCAAACACCGCCUUUCUUUUUGAAUUUGAGUCCAAAUCAAUUGUAUCUAGACAUAAUCGACUUACUAACAUCAAUAAACGCUAAACAAUCCAAUUUCAAUGCUUAAUUAUAGCUUUCCCAUCAUUCUUCCCAAAAAAUAAAAAAUUGACCCCAAGCCCGCUUUGUCAAAACACGAGGUUCGGACCAAAAUCCGAUCACUCAUUCACCCACGAUCCCGAAUAUAUAUUUUGCUUUGAAAUCCGACCCCAAAAUGCUGCUUGACUCUUUAUAAAGUAUACAAGUGUUGAAAGAGUGAAGUCUGGGGACAACGGUAAACGUGAGGAAUGGCACCUCUCGAAACCAAUUCACUUGAGUGAGACAGAGGAGAGUGGAAUUUCGUGUGUAGGGGUGAAAUCCGGAGAUCUACGAAGGAAGGCCAAAAGCGAAGGCAGCUCUCUGGGUCAAAUUCCCAAAUUAUCAAAAAGCCCUAACUCUACCCAAAUCCCUAAGAGGUAUGGAGAAGAUGAAGUUCAUGAAAAAUGGUGGAAAUCCCAUAAUGCAUUCUAUUUUUGGAACUUAAAAUAACUGGGCGAAUUUGGUCUUCGCGUUCGCGAUGAGCUACGCCUGAGAGACCUUCGCGUUUGCGUAACCGGGCUCGCAUUCGCGGAGCAUUAACUCCUCGAGCCAUCGCGUUCGCGACUAGGAGGUCGCAUUCGCAUAGGGUAUAAUAUCCCUCCCCCUGCCCAGGCUCAUAAGCCUUCGCGUUCACGUUACCAAGCCCGCAUUCGCGAAGGGAAGACCCCCCAAAGCUUCGCGUUCGCGAGGGUCCUCCCACGAACGCGAAGAAGAAAAUACCAGCACACCAGAACUGAAAAAAACCUGCAACUUUUAUGAGUUCAAAAACCUUCCGAAACACAUCCGAAACUCACACGAGCCCUCGGGGCUCCAAACCAAACAUACGUACUAACUCAAAAACAUCAUAUGAAUUUAUUUGUGCGAUCAAAUCGCCAAAAUAGCCCCUUAAACAACGAAUUAAACCUCAAAAUUGAUGAAAUAUUUUAAAACUUCUUAAAACAUCAAAUUUUGCAUUUAAGGUCCGAAUCACGUCAAAUGACAUCCGUUUCUUACCAAACUUCACAGAAUUAUCUUAAAUCACAUUUAAGACCUGUAUCGGGCGCCGGAACCAAAAAUAUGGGCCCGAUACUAACAUGUUCUAAUCAAAAUUCAUUUCCAAAUCCUUUUAAACAAUUUACUUUAAAAAUUUUAUUUCUCGGGCUUGGGACCUCAGAAUUUAAUUUCGGGAAUACGCCUAAGUCCCAUAUUUUCCAACGGACCCUCCGGGACCGUCAAAUAUAUAAGCUUUCCGGCUAUUACGAAGUAAACGCAACCAAUUGUGUCUGGGACUGGCGAAAUGAGAUCAUUGACUAUCUCAAGCACGAAAAAUUACCUGAAGAUCCCAAGGCAUAUCGGGCACUGCGCUCUAAAGCAGCUCGAUACAGCUUCAAGGGAGGUCAACUCUAUAGAAGAUCCUUCUAAGGCCCGUUGGCCCGAUGUCUGGGAGCUUCCGAAGCCAACUAUGUCAUGCAGGAAGUCCAUGAAGGGAUCUGUAGAAAUCACUCGGGCGCGGAUUCCUUAGUGUUAAAAUUAAUUUGGGAAGGAUACUACUGGCCUCGGAUGGAACAAGACGCCAAGGCUUAUGUUCAGAAAUGUGAUAAAUGUCAACACCACGCACCAUUAGUACAUCAACCGGUAGAGCUAUUACAUUCAGUUUUAUCUCCAUGGUUGUUCAUGAAGUGGGGGAAGGAUAUUGUCGGUCUGUUGCCGCCAUCCCCCGGUAAGGUAAGAUUUCUUUUGAUUUUAACUGACUAAUUUUCUAAGUGGGUUGAAAUGGGUCCUUACCUGAAGAUCUGCGAAUGCGAAGUGGUAUAUUUCUUGUGGAAAAAUAUAAUUUGAAGACUUGGGAUAUCAAAAGAGAUAGCCUACGAUAAUUGGACACAAUUUAUAGGUGUAAAGGUAACUAAAUUCCUUGAAUAUUUGAAAAUAAAAAGGAUCACAUCGUCACCUUAUCACCUGAGUGCAGACGGUCAAGCAAAAUCAACAAACAAAGUGAUUAUCCAAAAUCUCAAAAAGAGAUUGGAAGCAGCCAAAGGUAAAUAGACCGGAAGAGCUACCAUGAGUGUUAUAGGCGUAUAAAACAAUGGCUAAAUCAAGAAGGGGGAAACUCCUUUCUCUCUUGUAUACGGAGCAGAAUCCUUGAUUCCAGUGGAAUUAGGGGAACCUACCUUGAGAUAUUUCCGGGCGAAUGAAGAAACAAAUAAUGAAGCAAUGUUGGUCGAAUUGGAACUGCUCGACGAACGUAGGGACUUGGCGCAUAUAAGGAUGGCAUCCCAAAAGUAGAGAAUGGAAAGAUAUUGCAAUCGAAGAGCCAACGUCCAUUAUUUCAAAGUAGGAGACUUGAUUUUAAGGAAAGUAACUCAGAACACCCGGGAGCUCAACGCAGCGAAGCUGGGUCCAACAUGGGAAGGCCCCUACCGAAUUUCAACUAUCACCAGAAAAGGGUUAUACGAAUUGGAAAAUUAAGAUGGAAAAAGUUGCCGAGAAACUAGAAUGUGGCACACCUCAAAAGGUACUAUUGUUGACGAACAUCACCUAUACUGAAAGUAUGUGCUGCACUCUUUUUCCCUUCAUCCAGUUUUUGUUCCAAUUGGGUUUUUCUGGCAAGGUUUUUAACAAGGCAACAACGGAAAGCAUACUACGAAGGAAGCUUCGUCAGCGGAUAUAAGACCUUAAAAUGACAAGGCACACAGAUAAUGAAUCACUAUGGAGCGGUUAGAUAAUCUUUUGCUUGGUAGCAAAGUUCCGACCGGAAAGUAAAAUUUUCUAUCGGGAAAAGAGUUACCUGACCGUUCACGAGUGCAGACCACUGUAGGGUUGUUAGAUAGUCUUUGGCUCGAUAACAAAGUUCCUAAGGGGAAGUGAAACUUACUAUCAAACUAAAGAUUAUCUAACCAUUAAAUAGUGGAAUCUUCAAAGAAGUAAGACUUCCAGUAUUCAAGUUCACAUUCUUCGCAUUCGAACACUGGGGGAAUGAUAUAAGAAUACAACAACAAUGAUUUCCACAUCGACCAGGAAUAUGAAACCCGAAAACAUAGUUGUAUCAUCGGGAUCGGGGACUGUGCGGCCAGCCCCAUAGAAACAAGUUGUAUAAGUUAGUCACAAGUAAUGACAAUUUCUUUUUAGCACAACGAAUGAUUAUAUACUUUUGAAAAUGGAAGGAAUAAAGUAAAGUCCUUUUAUUUUUAUCUUGUUUCUUAUCCUAUCAAUGAAUUAAUUUUAUCAUUUGAAAGUUAAACAAGUACUUCAAAUGCUAAUGCCAUAAUGAACAGGAGAUGUCCUGUUCAAGAGCACCGUAAACAUAAGAGGGAACUCUCUUAUGAAACCCUCAUGGUAAGGGGUUGAUUCCGGAAGAGCUUAUGCUCGGAAUUCAAAUGCUCUCGGGGAAAAAUACACCUGAAGCCUUGCAUAAUUCGAUGCAAAUAGAAAAACUUGCAUAAUACUUAAAUGAAAAGUACGCAAAAAGAAAUAAUUGCACAAUACUUAAACGAAAAAAUAAUUCCAUCCAUAGCAAACGUGCCAAGCAACACAAAUACAAAGGUAUGGAAAAGAAAAGAAAGUAAAAAGUUGAACUACUGCACCCCCAAAAUCCGAAGGAAAAGAAGCAUUUGCACUCCCGGGAGAAGUAGGUGGAUUAGCCGUUGGCUCAAUAUCUUGGCCUUCACCAUCUUGGCCUUCAGCAUCAUCCCCUUCCGGUUCUUCUUCAGUUCCCGAGAACUCGGAACCGGAACUAGAAGAGUCAGUAGCAUCAUGUUGAACCAGGAGACCCCGUCGGGCAGUUGACUCCAGCUCACGAACCUUAGCGAUUUCGGCAUCAAAGUCAAUGACGCCCGAUUUGGACUCUUCCAAGGUUUUUCUCCUCAUGCUAUACAUAGAAUAUGUUUUUUCAACAACAAGGGAAGCCACUUAUCGCUAAAGUUCUUCAUUAAGACGGUCAACCUCAGUCGAAAGGUUAUCCCGCUCGGAUCUAAUGGCCCGGAGGCUAAAAUCAAGGUCACGGAUAGUGGAGUUAAAUACUUUAUUAUUCUCUAUAACCCACUUAUGCCUCUCUUCCAAUCGGGCAUACUUUUCCUCGGCACAAGCAACUUCUUCAGCUUUGGAGUUCAAGGUCGCCUCCAAAUUAUUUAAUCUUUCAGUAGAGGCAGCCUCGCGAUCGGAUGCAGCAAGAACGACAUUGUGGAUCUCAACCCACUUUGCCCUAGCUUCUUCAAACUGUACCCUUAAUAGGGUGGCAUCUUGGCCGAGGGUCACUACCUCUUGCUCGCUUUGCUGCAACCGAGCCUCCAACUCAACGACCUCAGCAGCUUGUGCUUCCAGUUCUAGGAGCCGAGCAACAUUUGGUCUCGCUCGGCCAACAAUGGAUCCCGCUCGAAGGUAAGUUCCACCUUAUCAAGAAUCAACCUCUGAAGGCCCUCGGAUGCAAGGAAGUUAGCCUGCAAAACAGAAGUACAAACUAAAAACCUUGCCAUAACAACAAUAGAAGAAACAAUAGAGGAAAGAAAGAUUUUACUGCUACUGCGUUAUGCAUGGCAUUGUUCAACAAACACUCUCCCGAAAUAGAUUGCAUUUUAUUUAUAUCCUUUCUAAAGCCAGAGGCUUCAGAUAAUUAGCAAGUUCCACCAGCAGGGAUAGUAGAUAGCAUCCGAAAACCGAAAGGGAGACACUCAUCCUCCUCUAUGGAUCUCUGGAGGGGGCAAAAUAAUUAUGCCCAAAAUUCCCAUAAACUGGGGACUGGGAAGAGGGACAUCUUCCUCUCGGACGACUGCGGUCGGUGGAGAUAAUGUAGCACUUGAUGGUGGCGAAGGCAAGGUCAUAGAAGAAGGAGAUGAUACUGAUAGCAUUGUAGGUUGAGAAGUGGCGACUGAACUCGAAAGCGAGAGUUAGCAUCUUCCACCAUAUCAUGUUCCCUCCAGAGCGUCGGGGCGUCAUCCUCGAUUGCCGUAACUAGAUCAACAGAUUGAGCAUUCUGUUGAGCUGAUGAAGGUCAUCAUCUUCUAUGUAGAGAAGCCCCCUCAUCAUUGGCUCCUUCAUCGUUAUCGAUCACCACAAUGUCUAUGGCUGGCUUAGGCGCGGCGUUAUUCGCCUUUUUAUUUUACCCUCGAUCGCAGAAGAAUGUCGCCUUUUUUUUGCUUGUUCUCCGGCCGGGGACUCCUAGAAGAAACACUUACACCGGAAGCAGGCCCGAUGACACCUAUUCGGGUAAAAGCCUCCUGCACCAACCUCGCCGUAUCAGCCAGAACGUCCUUCUCGGGAUAGUAAUAGAGCCCUGCGGAAGACCUGAAUUCAACAGGAAAGAAAGGUUAACCAAUUUUUCUUAUACGAGAAGUGAAGACAACAUAAGUUCAACCUACCAUGAUUUUUGUCCUUCUACCCAUAUUUAAGGGCCAGUUCCUUCCACUUGCUGGUCUUAGGCGUAGUGACAUCCAGAAUCUUCUGGACCCACUGGUCUAGGCCUUCAAUCCUAGGUGGUAUCCACUGAGUUGCUGAAAUAGUAAAAGAAGAAGGAUCAACAAUAUCAUGGGACAAUCUUUAACUAGAAAGACAGACGAUGUACUUACGAGUGGGGUUCCAUAAUUCAGGAAAGGAUGGAGUCAUGGUCGGGAUAAUGUCCCUGGUGGAAACCGCAACGAACCGCUCCAUCCACCCACGGUCAUUGUCAUCAUCCAUGCUAGUUAGCAAAGCAUGGUGACCACAUUUGCUAAAGUUUAUCAUUCCCCCACGGAAAAUCUUGGGGGAAUAAAGGUUUAUCAGUCGAUCUAGAUAUAGCUCUUCUCCUAUCUCCUGACAUAGACGUCGAAGACAAGCAACAGUCUGCCACACAGAAGGGCUUAUCUGUGCCAAACAGACUUGGUAAAGAAGGCAAAACUCCAAGAUAAUGGAGUCAAGCCCCCCGCUAAUGAGAACGGGUCCAGAGUAAAGCGAUACGUAUAAACAUACGUAAAAUCCUUCUUAUAGAAGGUUACCGGCUCCGCCUGGUCAGGAGAAAUGAUGUUCAUAUCUUGACAACCACAAUCUUCCUUCGCACUAGGAAUGCUAGAAGGGUGGAUGGAAGAAGGAUACACGCCAACAACCCAUGUUCGGGGGCUAGGAGAAGGGUACUUCUCUUCGAAGUCAUUAGUUGUAAUAAUCUUUCUGGGAAUGAUGGUGCUCACCGUGGUAGGAGCAGCAUCAUCAACACUUUCUUUAUUUUUCGAAGCACUGGAAUUCCUGGAAGAGGAGGCAAAUGUUAUAAGAAGAAAGAGAGUUUGAGAGAGUUUGGAAAGUUAUGAAGUGUAAAAGGAGAAGGUUGAUGCAUAUAAGUAAAGGAAUAGGUGUCUAAAGUCGUGGCUAUAAUUACCUCAAUAACCGGCAAAUUGUUGCUGAAUUAUGGGAUGAAGCAUGUUCGGGGCAUUAAAUACGGAAAAACAUACGUCUAAUCAACCGUCAGAAACUUUUCAGAAGGGGUCAAAGAAUUUUCCGCCAAAAAGGUAUCUAUACCAACUUCUCGGUGACACAAGGUUAUGUAACUGGAAGUAGGGGGACUAUCUGUAUAGGGUAAAAUAUGUUCAUAUUAAAUGCUCGCAUGAUAAAGCUACACGUGGAGCCGAAGAAAGAAGGCAAACAGGUCCGAAGGCAACGAUCUCGUUUGUCCCCGGAGGGAAUGGGGUUCAUGAAGGCGGAAUAAAUGUCUACCACCUGAUAGAAUUUAAUGGAGAAUAUUCUAUAGCAUUAAAUAUAUAGUCCGUUACAGAAAAUAUGACAUUGACUGCCUACCGUUACACAUUCUUUAAUGGCCCUCAUAAUUGUCAUUUAAUAAGGGCUUGAUCCUAGGACCUUGUUCCCUAUGUGCAAUUAUAAAUAGAGAGCUCAACAACUAUUGUAGGACAUGAAUUUUCUAACAAGCUGAUACUAUACUUUGUUAAAAGCCCUCAAUAAUAUUUUAAUCUUCUUGCUUAUUAAUAUUUUUACUACUGCCUUCGGAAGCACUGCUCCCGGAACCAAGAUUUCUGAUGUCUUAUCUCGAUUUCAACGCUAAGUCUUACAUUCUUGUUUAAUUUAUUUAUCAUUUAGGGAUCAAAUCGAUUCACUUAUUUAUAAACCACGUAUAAAUUCAACUGUACCGCUUUAUAGGUAAACAACUUUGUCACUGGGAAUUUUUGCCUUCUUAUAACAUAUUGUUUUUAUGUUUUAGUAUUAAUGGGAAUCUAGAUUUCAUUCAGUUAUUAUCAACAUAUUGUUCCAAAAACAUAGAAGGUUUGACAAUUAGGUACUAUUGGAAUAUUUGUUGGGUCUCUCACAUCGGCUGAGGAAUGAGGGAUUUGGUCACUUUUUAUGGCUCGGACAAUUCUCACCUCAUGAAUUGGCUUUUAGAGUUGGGUAGGUCCAAGCUUCAUUUCCUUGUCAUGGUAUCAGAGUCGGAUUCUUUGUACCAUUUUUGGACCCUCAUAUUAUAUUAUUCAUGCUUCAACAUCGGCUAAGGAAUGGGGGACUUGGGCAAUCCUCAUAUCAUGAACUAGCUUUUACAGUUGAGUUAGGCCAAGAUCUAUUUAUUUGGCAUUACUUAAUCCUGAAAGAGUAGAGAGACAGCUUUUUUAAGUUUCAAACAAUAAUAUUUCUCAAUUAAUCUUGGCUUCGCCAAGUAGGAACCCGAUUUUGAUUUACUUCAAGGUCAAAAGUUAAAAGUGUUGCUCAUGGGGCAAGCGAGAGACAACACUUGUUAAACUUGAAGUUCUACCAAUUAAGCAAGCGGAGGCAAAACUUUAAGAUCAUCUACUUUAAGGGUUUUUGUGUACUUCACCCCGUUAAGGUGAAAGGUUCUAAAUCCAUCAAUAAAGGUAACAUCCUUUUUCCCCCACCCUAACCAAGGGCGGAUUUAAGUCUAAUUUAUGGGCACGUGAACCCAUGGUCUAUCCGCCAAACUAGAUAUUUUAUAUACAUAUUUUCUAAAAUUGAUCUGAUAUUAUAUGAUGACACUCAUGCUCCAAAGAUGCUAAAUGGUGCACUUGUUUGAAUGUUUAGUUAGUUACCUAGAGGAGCAGAGAUCGAUUCCCACUUAAUUCUUCUUUUUUUCCUUCUUUGUUUAAUGGUGCACUCAUGUUAUAGAAAUUCUAGAUCCGCCUCUGACACCAAAGUAGUAAUUAAAAAAGAAAAAGAAAAAGGCAUGGGGAGAUUCUGAUUUGCGAUUGUUACAAGAGCAAAGAGUAAAUAAUUUUUUUCCAUGUGAUAGCAGAAAAUGACUUACACCCACUAUGAUCGUAAGGCUGUUUCUCCCAAUUUUGUGUAAAAUAUACAAGCAUAGCUACCUACUACAAAAAAUAUACAGCGAAAAUUGUCGAAAAAUUUAGUAUUUGUUAGGAAAUAAUGGUAGAGCAAGGUAAAGGAUAGGUAUGGCUAUUUUCUUGCAUGCUUUUAUUUGAAAGGAAAAAAGAAAAUAAAAACGCUUUUUCAACAUCUACUUUCAAGUAGCUUUAAGCGCUUUUCAAAGUAUGCUUUAUAGAAGCACAAAAAGGUCGAAAAGCCAACUUUAAUUUCUUACUUAUCCUUAAUUUACACAGCAUUAAACACCUUUUUGAAAAUGAAUAAGUAAACUGGCAUUAUUUCCAAAAACAACAGAAAGUCAGAAAUAUUGGUGCUGACCAUCAGCCAUGGCCCCCAAACAUCAUAGAACUAUGUAGUCAAACAAAUUUCAAGGACAUCUUCAGCUCUUAUGCUUCUCAAGAGUCAAGCUCGAUUGACAAUAAUAAGAAAACAGAAAACAGUGCUGCUUGUAAUGUGAGAAAAUAGAAAAAAGUGCUGCUUGAAUUUGCAAACCCGGUUUCGGAAAAAAAUUAAACAAAGGCUUCUGUAACACAAUGCAUCUAAAAUGUCUGAUAUCUCCCUCCCUUGCUGUUACCCAGAAUAAGUCACAAAUCUACAAGGCGACCUUAUACUUGUAACGGGAUCACUCAAAAAGUGUCCCUUGAAUCAUUAACAUCACUUAGAAAUAUCAAAAGAGUGAGACUAGCCAAUUAGAAGUUGGACUAAGAAUGUCAUUGGUCGUCUAUUGAUGCAGGGCUUUACCUGCUAGUUUUACUAUACCAGCCAUCUUUUUCGNNNNNNNNNNNNNNNNNNNNNNNNNUCUCUACCCUUCGGGGUAGGGGUAAGGUCUGCGUACAUAUUACGCUCCCCAGACCCCACUUGUAGGAUUAUACUGGGUUGUUGUUGUUGUUGUACUUAGAAAUAUCAAAAGAAUCAAGGAAGCUCUUUGCCAUGUCCUUUUGGACCCUUAUUCUAGGACGUUGUUGAAUAAAGGCAAAUUAAAUGACAACAUUUGAAAGCAGAAUAAACUCCUAUCUUAACAGAAAACAGCCGGUAACACAACAACUUAAAUUGGUUUCUUCAAAAUUCCGAAGAAUGCUAACCAAGAAUAAGCAAUAACAAAGAGCAUUUAAGCAACACGAACCUCUUGAUUUCAUCUCGUAAAAAAGUACAUUUAAUCACCCAAAACUGAUACGAGUAGGAAUCCUACAUAGACGGAUAAAUGACAGAAGCAUUAUUCAACAGAAUGACAAGAUAAUACGCCAUUACAAAGUUCAAUUAACCAAAAAUGCUGAAACGAAAAUGAAAUUUAGUAGAUCGAGUACUUCUCGCCAGCAUCAGGCCAAAGUUUCCUGUAGAUGCCAAUUGCAGUUGGAAUUAUAGCAGAAAGUGCAAGAGAGAGGUGGUCUGAACUGCUUGUCCUCACAGUUAUUUGCCCACUGAGCUUGUUAUUGAUUCCUGCUCGAACAGCUACCUUAGAAUUACGCCCAACCGCGAAUUGCGCCAUACUGUUGAAUCCUAGAGCCAAAUCACCUCUCCACUUUAUGACAGACAUAGACAAUGUGGAUUGCACCUGACCAAUUGGAAAAUCUGCCUCCCUUCUCUGCAGUUCAAAGUUGGCACCAUAAGCUGUGUCACUCUGAGAUCGAACAGUGCCAGUGCUGCCAACUAGAACGUAUUGCUUGCCUAAGGUGAUCUGAUCUUCAACUUUAAGCCCGGUAACCACAUUUUCACCUAGAAAUGUGACAGAAAUUCCACCAGCAGUCUUGUUCUUCUUCAAGAUUUUGAAUUUGGUUUCUCCCCUGACAAUAUAUGCAAGUUGCUUUCCUAUGCUUUGAAUAUCAAAGCCAGCCAUGGUGGAUCCAUUAUCUCCAUGCUUAGCAGAAAUAGAAGAGUCCAAAUUGAUACUGAAAUCUUUCUUAUCUUUGGUGAUUUGGACAGUAACUGCAGCAGGGAAACGACUUGCAAUGGCUAAACUCUGUUCCACGUUAACACCAUCAUAGCCACAAUCAUGAUCCCAACCAUGCGUGUCCAGAACAGGCCUUGCAAGAAACUGAGAAGUGGGCUCCAAAAACCGGUACCUGUAGGCAGGAUUAUCACUAUCAAAAGAAGGUGGGAGGACCAUGUCGGGUAGGGGAACUGCUACAGGAGCUGCUGCCCCUGUAUCAGCAUCUUCCUCUGCAUAACCAUACUCAAUUGCUGCCUCUUUUCCCUUGUUAUUUUUCAUUUCUCUCAUUCUUCUCAACUCUUCCCUCCACUGCUUCUUCUGAAGGAGCUUGACCCGAUAGUCGUACUCCUCAAAAUAUGCCUUCCUCUGUUCUUUGCUGAGCUUAGCGAGUUGAGCCUUCCGAAGAGGCUUAAAGGGAGGAAGCUGGUCGUACUCGUCUUCUUCUUCUUGGUCAGACUCUGACAAAUCAUCCAAGUCAAUGUCUGAAUCACCAUUAUCACCACCCUGCUCAGCGGGAAGCUUGGGAUGCGCACGUGACUGCAGCAUUGAGGACAGCAUGUAGGGAAGAGGUGGUGAGCGUGUGCGGAAACCAAAGAGCUUACGGUGAUCGAAUGGAUCUUCAGGCUUUGAGAGUGCACUUGCUUCAGACAAGAUCUUCAUUGAGUAGCAUAAUAACAGUAAUUGAGGCCUCCAGCUCUGGCCAUUAGGUAGUAUCUUCUGCCCUUCCCUAUUCUUCCUACAAGAUGGAUGAUUCUCUACCAGAGAAACAGGGUUCAUCAAACUUGGACUCAUCAUUCGUAAAUCGCCUACUGCUUGACCAAUAGACUGCUGAACAACAUGAGACCUUUGAGUAACAAACACCUCAUAACUUAAAGGGGAGCCAGAAGGCCCAUCUGGAGGUGCAGAAGCUCCAUGUGUGAGAGUGACUAUGGCACUUCUCCAUAUUGAAGGGCCAAGACAACUUGUGAUAGUCUUCAGCAUAGGAAGAUCAUUGAGAUCUCUAGUUUGGGCAUCUAGCCGAUCAACGUAAAGGAAAAUAUCAGGGGGGUUCUUCUUAGUAAACUUCUUUGCUGAAGACAAGACACUGCGGUUGAAACCCUGUUCCAUCACAGAGGACUUGAGACCGGGUGUAUCAAAUACCCGAAUCUUAACACCCUCUACAACACCACUAAUCUCUUUCACACUGGUGGUAGCUGGCCCAAAUGCAUUAAUUGGAGUUUUUUCCUCUCCGAAGAUCGAAUUUAUGGUAGCGCUCUUACCCACUCCUGAUUUUCCAAUAACCUGGAUAUUAACAGAGAAGUCCAAAUCAUCUUCCCCCUCUGCUUCAAGCUGGAGAGCUCUCAUCUUGGCAGCCUCCAGGCUAAAAAGUGGACUGUUUUGCCUUCGUGCAAUAAGUGCCAGCCGGUACAAUACUUGAGCAGCUAUGGACUCAUCAGAAGAAAACCCUAACCUGUGAAUAAGCCUCAAAAACUUGACCCUAAUCUGCUGUAAUUUCUCCAGUUUCUUCUUUUCUUCUUCACUCAAGUUAUUCUCAGAUUCUCCACUAUUCUGAAGACUGGAAGGAGUAAAAAGAUUGGGGCGAUUUGGUUGGGGAGCUGGCCUCAGCGACCGCAGUGAUGACCCAAGACCAGCAGGACGUUCAACAGAGAAUAGCCUUGACCCAUCUUGAGAUGUGAUUGUGAUGUUUCCACCAUCAGAAUCAGCACCUGUAGCUGCUUUUAAAAGGGCAGCUAAGGCAGCUGAAUCGAACAACUCCUUCCCAUCUCCUUCUUCAUCAGUAUCAGCCUCCUCAUCUGAGUCGGUGACGAUCUGACCAUCAAUUUCCUGUGAAUGAUCAUGUGAAGCCUCAGCACCAGUAUAGGAAUCACCACCGGAUUCCCUUUCCAGCUCUUCAAUAAACUGUCUGGCAGCUUCAGAGCUUCCAAAGAUCAUACCGUCUGUCUCUCCAUCUGAAAUUGAGCCUUCAAGCUCAGCUUCUUCAUCUAUUUGAUCUUUAGCUUCUCCAUCUGCUUCCAGUAUUUGCUGUGAGCCACUGAUUGACCUUGAUAUGGCAGAUGACUGACCUGAGACUUCAGCUUCCACUACAUCUCCCUCAAUGCUUCCUUCGGAAUGGUCACCGUUGGCAUAAAUAGUUUCAGACACUGCCUGCUCAGGUUCCUUUUCGACAUCCUUCACGUCCGGACUUAUAUUACCACUUUCAGGAUCUGCUUCUUUGAUUUCCUCGGUAGCAGCUACCGCAUCACCAGUCUGAACGUCUCCAGCAUCUAGUUUUUCAUCACUUCCAGCACCAACAAUGAUAUCCACAGGCUUGGAUUCUGCAGCUGCAACAUUAUCAUCCACUGCAGGCUUAGACUUCUGAACAUCUACUUCAUCAACUGUCAUAUUAGCCACUUCUUCAAUAAGUUGUCUGGUCUCACCAACACCAUUUACUGAUGUCACAUUCUCAUCAGCAGUACUUUCUACAUGUUCUUUCACUUCCUUGUUCUCAUCCACAUCUCCAACAACAGCAACCCCUGUCCCUGAGACGUUGACAUCAAUAGCAUCCACAACUGCAUCUCCAUCUGAAGUAAAUUUCUCACCAUCUGCUUCAAUCAACAAAGACUCUGACACAUCAGCAGGACUUUCAACAUGUUGUUCCACUUCCUUGCUCUCUUCCACAUCUCCAACAACAGCAACUCCUGGUGCUGACACAUUCACUACACUCCCUUCCACAUCUCCAACGACAGGGACCCCUAGCGCUGAUACAUUCACUUCACUCUCUUCCACAUCUCCAACAACAACAACCCCUGGCGCUGACACAUUGACAUUGACAUCAAUAGCAUCCACUACUGCAUCUCCUUCUGGAGUAAUCUCACCUUCUGCUCCAACCAACAAAGACUCCGACGGUUCAACAACCUCCUCAUUGGGUUUUUCGGCAUCAUCACUAGGAAUAGCACUCUCUUCCACAUCUCCACCAACAGCAACCCCUGGCGCUGACACAUUGACAUUAACAUCAAUAGCAUCCACAACCGCAUCUCCUUCAAGCGUAAACUUCUCACGGUUCGCUUCAACCAACAAAGACUCCGACGGUUCAACAACCGCCUUAUUGGGUUUUUCGGCAUCAUCACUAUGAGUAGCACUCUCUUCAAUCACCGUCUUAUCAGGUUCCACAGCCCCUUUCAGAUUAGAUGAAGCAACACUAGUUAAAGCUUCAUCCUUUUCAUUCUCCUCAAUUUCCUUCACCUCCUCCUGGGUGGACCCAUCCACACCCUUUUUCAAUUCUGUACCUACAGCAAUCUCACCACCACUCUCUUUCACCUGCUCAAUCGAAUUAGACUCAUCAACUGAGUUUAAUUCUUCAGUAUUUCCCUCAGAAACAGAACCACCAACUCCGCCAGAAUCCUCACUCAACGUAAUCCCUUCACCCUUUUCUCCCCCCAAAACCUCAACUUUUUCGACACCAUCAAUCAUAGAAACCUCAGAAACAGGCUUCACUGACUUCAGCAUCGAAAUUUCCGCAGAAUCAUUGGGCUGCUCUUCACCAAUGGAUUUUUCUACGGUUUUCUCAUCUGGGUCAGCAAGAAGGGGCCUUUCAGAGCCCGUAACAAUCUUUUCUCGCUGACCACCACUCACAAGUGUUCCAUCAUCACUAACGCAGUUACUAUUAUAACUAUUAUUAUUGUUAUUAAUUUCGGUAGCAGUGUUUGCAACGUUAUUUUGCAUUUGGGAAUCGAGAGAAGAAGAUGAAUUGUUGAUAGGAGAAGAACCUGGAGAAGGAGAAGAGACUACAGGUGGAAACGACGUCGCUUCUACUUUGAAAUCCAUGCCGUCAACAACUCCUCGCUUCUCAAUUGAAUUGGGAUGAAGUAAAAUUGGAUAGUAUGAGAUAGGGGAAGUUCUCUGUGGAGAGAACAAAGAGGGGUUUUGGUGCAGAGAGGGGGGGAUUAGAUAGAGUAGACGAUAAGGUUUAUAGUAUUAGCUCAAUUUCUAUAGGCACUCCUAUGGGCUUUGGGGGUUUUGAAGCAUUUUCACUCUUUAGAAAUAAAAGAAAAGAAAAUUAAUUUUACACGGAAUUUGUAAAUUUUUUUAUACCACCUGUUUUUUUUUAUUUAUAAUAAUGGCAGAUAUAUUAUAAAAAAUAGAUAACCUUCAGUUGGUUACGGAUAGUAGGAAAAUUACCACAUUGGUGGAUUAUCACAUGCAAUAGAUUGAUUGCCUAAGGUUCUUAGCCUAUUACAAGCAUCACUAGAUAAAGUUUUUACAAAAGGACAAGCUUCAUUUUCUUCCAAAGUCAGUUGUUUCUUCACAAAAGGAGGAGGUGUUGCAUGGAGUUUUGGAUACUGAGGGGAGAGCUGUUUGUAGUUUCCCUUUGUGGCGUCUUUUGCAAGGAUAUACGCCACUUGGUUGCCUUCCCGGAAAUUAUAUUGUAGUAGGAGGUCCUUCUGGUGGUGCAUUAAUGAUCUGCAAGAAAAAACAAGAUUAGAACAGACUAAAUGGUCCUGCUGUCUUGCCUUGAUUGCUUCAGUUGAGUCGGUCUCCACUUCAAGCGGAAAGAGCUUGUAUUUCUUUGCAAUUUGUAGGCCUUCGCAAAUUGCUUGUAGCUAUGUAUGAAGAGGAGAAAUAGUUGUGCUUUGCAUUUGGAAGCCAAGGAUCCACAUACCCAUGUGAUUUCUGAUCACACCUCCUACACCUGAUAUUUGUGCAUCAACUUUGUAUGCACCAUCAGUGUUUAGUUUAUACCAAUGUUGUUGGGGUUUAUGCCAACUUAUAUUAACAAUCAUUUUUGUUUGAGUUGGGCCACCCUUUGUGUUUAGGAAAUUAUAUUCAGUAACUUGGCCCAUUAAAGUUGUUAGUUUUGGGGGGGGGGGGGGGGGNNNNGGGGGAGUUUGUGUUGUUGAAAUUAUUCUUGUUCCUGUUAGUCCAGAUUUCCCAUAUAAGGAAGGGAAGUAGAGUACCCCAUUCCAUAGUUGAUGAGAUGGUUAUUGUGUUCAAAUCUUUUAGGAUCUCCAAAUGUUCUCAACUUUACGGCACAACAGGAAGAUGUAUAAUACCUUCUUCGUUUGUUCGGCAUAUAGUGCAUUGAGGAUCAAUAUUAAUAUCAAUAUGAUGAAGAUACUGACGAGUAGGAAUUCUAUCGUGGAGGCAUUGCCAAAGGAAGAAUUUUAUUUUGUUCGGGCAAUGUAACUUCCAUAUCUAGCUGAAAUCAUGUGUUGCUGGGUUAGUGUUGUUGACUAAUUGAUAGCAACUUUUGGUGGUGAAUUGGCCAUUGUUAUUAAGGCUCCAUAGAUGCUUGUCAUAGUUUCCAUAGUUAAGGGGUUGUGGAAUGCUUUUAAUAUUGUUUACCACUUUAGAAGGCAUUCGGAAGGAAAUUUUUAAGAAUGACCAAUUUCCAUUGUGGUAGAUAUUUCUUAUUUGAAGAUUGCUCUCAUGUUCUUGGAGGGGUCCCUCAAUGCAGUUUCUUAACAAUAGGUAAUUUGGAAUCCAACGGGUGUCCCAUAUAUUGAGAGUGGAAUUGUGGCUAGGUUGCCAUAGAAUGGCUUUAGAACAGAUGGUCCAUCCUUUUAGGAUGCCCUUCCAAAUGAAUGAAUGGUUCUUUGAUCUUUUGGAACUAUAUUUAUUAAUUAAUAUGUUUGCCCAAGGAGUGGUUGGAUUAGAAAGAAUUCACCAAGUUAAUCCACUCAACAAAGCAGUGUUUUUAGAGUUAGGAUUAUUUAGACCAAGGCCUCUAUAACGACCCGACCGGUUGUUUUAAGAAUUAACGUCCUGAUCCCUUAUUAACUGCUUNNNNNNNNNNNNNNNNNNNNNNNNNNNNNNNNNNNNNNNNNNNNNNNNNNNNNNNNNNNNNNNNNNNNNNNNNNNNNNNNNNNNNNNNNNNNNNNNNNNNNNNNNNNNNNNNNNNNNNNNNNNNNNNNNNNNNNNNNNNNNNNNNNNNNNNNNNNNNNNNNNNNNNNNNNNNNNNNNNNNNNNNNNNNNNNNNNNNNNNNNNNNNNNNNNNNNNNNNNNNNNNNNNNNNNNNNNNNNNNNNNNNNNNNNNNNNNNNNNNNNNNNNNNNNNNNNNNNNNNNNNNNNNNNNNNNNNNNNNNNNNNNNNNNNNNNNNNNNNNNNNNNNNNNNNNNNNNNNNNNNNNNNNNNNNNNNNNNNNNNNNNNNNNNNNNNNNNNNNNNNNNNNNNNNNNNNNNNNNNNNNNNNNNNNNNNNNNNNNNNNNNNNNNNNNNNNNNNNNNNNNNNNNNNNNNNNNNNNNNNNNNNNNNNNNNNNNNNNNNNNNNNNNNNNNNNNNNNNNNNNNNNNNNNNNNNNNNNNNNNNNNNNNNNNNNNNNNNNNNNNNNNNNNNNNNNNNNNNNNNNNNNNNNNNNNNNNNNNNNNNNNNNNNNNNNNNNNNNNNNNNNNNNNNNNNNNNNNNNNNNNNNNNNNNNNNNNNNNNNNNNNNNNNNNNNNNNNNNNNNNNNNNNNNNNNNNNNNNNNNNNNNNNNNNNNNNNNNNNNNNNNNNNNNNNNNNNNNNNNNNNNNNNNNNNNNNNNNNNNNNNNNNNNNNNNNNNNNNNNNNNNNNNNNNNNNNNNNNNNNNNNNNNNNNNNNNNNNNNNNNNNNNNNNNNNNNNNNNNNNNNNNNNNNNNNNNNNNNNNNNNNNNNNNNNNNNNNNNNNNNNNNNNNNNNNNNNNNNNNNNNNNNNNNNNNNNNNNNNNNNNNNNNNNNNNNNNNNNNNNNNNNNNNNNNNNNNNNNNNNNNNNNNNNNNNNNNNNNNNNNNNNNNNNNNNNNNNNNNNNNNNNNNNNNNNNNNNNNNNNNNNNNNNNNNNNNNNNNNNNNNNNNNNNNNNNNNNNNNNNNNNNNNNNNNNNNNNNNNNNNNNNNNNNNNNNNNNNNNNNNNNNNNNNNNNNNNNNNNNNNNNNNNNNNNNNNNNNNNNNNNNNNNNNNNNNNNNNNNNNNNNNNNNNNNNNNNNNNNNNNNNNNNNNNNNNNNNNNNNNNNNNNNNNNNNNNNNNNNNNNNNNNNNNNNNNNNNNNNNNNNNNNNNNNNNNNNNNNNNNNNNNNNNNNNNNNNNNNNNNNNNNNNNNNNNNNNNNNNNNNNNNNNNNNNNNNNNNNNNNNNNNNNNNNNNNNNNNNNNNNNNNNNNNNNNNNNNNNNNNNNNNNNNNNNNNNNNNNNNNNNNNNNNNNNNNNNNNNNNNNNNNNNNNNNNNNNNNNNNNNNNNNNNNNNNNNNNNNNNNNNNNNNNNNNNNNNNNNNNNNNNNNNNNNNNNNNNNNNNNNNNNNNNNNNNNNNNNNNNNNNNNNNNNNNNNNNNNNNNNNNNNNNNNNNNNNNNNNNNNNNNNNNNNNNNNNNNNNNNNNNNNNNNNNNNNNNNNNNNNNNNNNNNNUUUCGGAGUGUUUUGAGACACUUAGUCCCUAAAAGAGAGCUUAAGCUUUAGAAUUUGGACCGUAGUCGGAGCAAUAUGAAGACGACCUCGGAAUGGAAUUCUGUCAGUUCCGUUAGCUCCGUUGGAUGAUUUCGGUCUUAGGGGCGUGUUCGGAUUGUAUUUUGGAAGUUUGUAGCUUAUUUAGGCUUGAAAUGCCGAAAGUUGAAUUUUUGAAGUUUCCGGUUCGAUAGUGAGAUUUUGAUAUCGGGGUCGGGAUGGAAUUCUGGAAGCUGGCGUAGCUCCGUAGUGUUGAAUGUGAUGUGCUUGCAAAAAUUUCAGGUCAUUCGGACGAGGUUUGAUAGACUUUUUGAUUGAAAGCGUAAUUUGAGAGUUUUUGGAGUUCUUAGGCUUGAAUCUGAUAUUAAAUAGGUGUUUUGAUGUUGUUUUGAGCAUUCCGAAGGUUGGAACAAGUUUGAAUGAUAUUUUAGGAGUGAUUGGCAUGUUUGGUUGAGGUCCCGGGGGCCUCAGGUGUGUUUCAGAUACUCAACGGACCAUUUUUGGACUUGGAGAAGGAUCAGAUUUUUGCUGGUUUUUGUUGCAGACUUUUCUUCAUCGCGAUCGUGUGAGGAGGCUCGCGAUCGCGAUGGCUUGAAUUAGGCAGAGUGAAUUUUGUUCUACGUGAUCGUGGGAAGGGGAGUGCGAAUGCAUAAUAAUAGCAGGAGUUGAAUUGCGAACGCGUGGGCUACGCCGCGUUCGCGAAGAGGAAGGAGUGAAACAGCUGAGGAUUUGCAAGUUGCUCUUCGCGAUCGCAUGGGAGUUUCCGCGAUCGCGAUUAAGGUCGCGUCUGGGCAGAACAUAAAGUUCAAAAUCGAGGGUUUUGAGUUUAUAUCACAAAAUUGAAUUGGGAGCUCGGUAGGAGAUGAAUUUUGGAGAGAUUGUCGGAGGGAGUUUGCGGGUAAUGAUUCUUAACUCCUUUUUACUUAUAACCCACUAAUCUAACACAUGAAUUCAUCAUCUAAUUUCGGAUUUGGGGUGAGAAAUUGGGGAAAAUUUGGAAAAGUUCUUAGACCUAAUUUUUGAGUUUUGAUUGGGGAUUUGACGUCGGAUUUGGAUAAUUUUGAUAUGGUUAAACUCGUGAGUGAAUGGAGGUUCAUAAUCCGUAACUUUUACCCGAUUUCGAGAUGUGGGUCCGGGGGGGCAUUUUGGUCAUUUUUCCUAAUUUCGCGUAUUAGCUUAGAAUUAAUUAGUGGAAUCAGUUACUUGAAGUUAUAUUUACAUUAUGCAAUUGAUUUGAAUAGAUUGAGCCAUUUGGAUUCGAGUACUCGUGGCAAGAGCGUGAUUUCGGGUUGGUUUUUGAGUCGGUUCGAGGUAAGUGACUUGCCUAACCUUGUAUGGGGGAACUCCCCUUAGGAUUUGGUAUUGUUGAUAUUUGAAAUGCCUUGUACAUGACGUGACGAGUACGUACUUGUGCUAAUUGUUGAAAAUCCUGUUUUCAUUAAGUAACUAUAAUUGUGUUUCCUUUCCUGUUUAUACUACUUGCAAUUUAAACCCGUUGUUAGCUUAGGAAAGUAUGUCUAAUUGCCUUAAUUGCUUUACUUUCUCAAACUGUCUUAUUUGGAUUAUGUGAAGCAUGUUAGGUUAGAAAUACAUGUUUUACCUUCGUAUCAAAUUUGAAUUGAAUUAAGUAUUCUUCGUGUUGCUACUGUGUGUUUACUUUGGGACUACGGGACAGUAUCCCGGGAGAUCCCCUUGCCUGUUUACUUUGGGACUACAGAUUUGUAUUCUAGGAGAUCCCCUACACAUAUAUAUUGAUUUGGACUGUAGUGCGGGAUACCGAGAGAUCCUCAUCACGUAUAUUGAGGAUACUAAGAGAUCCUCGGGAUACCGAGAGAUCCCAGCACAUAUAUUGAGGAUACUAAGAGAUUCUCGAGAUACCGAGAGAUCCCAUCACACAUAUUGAGGAUACUAAGAGAUCCUCGGGGUACUGAGAGAUCCCCGGUUGUUAUCUCAGUGUUGAGCUGUAUUCCUUCUGUGAUUACUUUGUCUCUAUUAUAGUCGUUGUUAUUCUUAUUAUCCUGUGUUUCUUCAUACUGUUAGCAUUUAAUUAUAUUGACAUAUUCUAUACUGUUUUAUUUCAUUUUUCAGCUAUAAUCAGUAUGGCCCUGUCCUUUCUCAUCACUACUCUACCGUGGUUAGACUUGACACUUACUGAGUACCGCUGUGGUGUACUCAUGCCCUUUCUACGCAUGUUUUUCAUGUGCAAAUCUAGGUAUUCGACUCAGUCCUACUACCUUUGAGGCGAGGUGAUUCUCCAGAGAUUUCGAGGUAUAUCUGUCGCGUCCGCAAACCGAGGAGUCCAUUUCCAUUCUCUCUCAUAGUAUUAGCCCUUAUGUAUUUAGUUUUGUUUAGACAUUCUGGAGUUAGACACUUGUAGUUAUUCAACAGCUUGUGAUUGCAUGAGAUUCCAAAUUUUGGAAAGUUGUUCAGUUUGAGAGACUAUAUUGUAUAUGCCGAGUGGCAUCUUUAAACCUUCACUAUGUUAAUUUCACAGUUUUUAUUUGUUUUAUCUGUUGUUUUUCCUUUUUUCUGCAAUUGUUAGGCUUAUCUAGUUGUAGAGAGUAGGUGCCGUCACAACAGUUUACGAAGGACGAACUUGGGUCGUGAUAAGUUGGUAUUAGAGCUCUAGGUUCAUAGGAGUCAUGAAUCACAAACCGAUUUAUUAGAGUUUCGAGGAUCGGUAUGGAGACAUCCGUACUUAUCUAUAAGAGACUAUGUAACUGUUAGAAAAAUUCCACUUCAUUUGGUGUCCUUGUCGUGCGAGAUUUUUGAUAUCAUAAUUCUAAACUUCUGUCUUCUAUUCUCUCACAGAUGGUGAGGACACAUGCUACCAGAGAUGAUCAGGCACCCGCGCCCCCUACAGGAGCCGUCGGAGGUCGGGGCCGGGGUAGAGGCCGAGGACACGCUCGUGGUGCAGCCAGAGCACCCACGCAAGCUGCCACCGAGGUGCCACCAACAGUUCCAACCGGAGUCCAGGCACUUGAUACGCCUACUGCUACUACUACUCCAGCUCUUCAAGAGACUCUUGCACAGUUCAUGAGCAUGUAUACCACUCUGGCUUAAGCAGGGUUGCUUCCCCUUGUUGCAGCUACAUCUCAGGCCGGGGGAGGAGCACUGACUCCCAUCGCUCGCACUCCUAAGCAGCGAGUGCAUGUUGAUCAGGUCCUAGAGAUUAUUCCUGUACAGCCUGCAGUCCUAGAUUAGCCCGAGGAUAGGGAAGCGACUUUUAAGGAUGAACAACGGAGGCUUGAGAGGUUCAAUAAGUAUAAGCCUCAUGUAUUCAGUGGUCUAGCAUUAGAUAAUGCUCUGGGAUUUCUAGACGAGUGCUACCGUAUCCUCCGUACCAUGGGUAUAUCAGGAUCGAGCGGGGUUUCCUUCACUACCUUCCAGCUUCGAGGAGCCGCCUAUGAGUGGUGGCGUACUUCGAGUUAGACAGUCUGGAUGGGACAGCUUCCCUGACUUGGACUCAGUUUUCAGAUAUGUUCCUGAGAGAGUAUGUCCCUCAAAGCCUCAGGGACGCAUGGCGCGUAGAGUUUGAGCAUUUGCGCCAGGGUGCUAUGACUGUCUCGGAGUAUGCUGUAUGUUUCACUAGCUUGGCUAGACAUGCACUAGCUUUGGUUUCUACUAUUCGCGAGAGGGUUCACCAGUUUAUUGAGGGGCUCAUUACCAGCAUCAGGUCUAGCAUGGCUCGUCAGUUGGAGAUGGAUAUUUCUUAUUAGCAGGUGGUGAGCAUUGCUAGGAGAGUGGAGGGUAUGCAUGCUAGGGAUAGAGAGUAGAAGGAGGCCAAGAGGUCUCGAGAGUCGGGCCAUUAUUCUGGUGUCCGUGCUCAAGCUGGCAGUUCGGUCAUGGUAGGGGUUAUAUGAGUCGCCCGUUCAUUCAGCUCUUCCAGCAACCAGUGGUAUUCCAGCUCCUCCUAGACCUCAGGAGCCUUAUUAUGCACCUCUAGUAUCUAAUGCGCAUCUUGUGCGGGGUGCUUUCAGAGGUCAGUCUAGUAAACCUGGCCCGAGCUAAUCACAACCGCCACGUCCUCCCAGAGCUUUUUUUGAGUGUGCUGACACACGCCAUGUGGUGAGGAAUUGCCCUAGACUUGGGAGGAGUGCACCUCCAUAGACUUCUCAGCCAUAGUGUACCCCGCAAAGGUCUCAGACUAUAGUUACAGCUCCAGUUGCUACCCCACCUGCUCAGCCAGCUAAAGGUGGAGGUUGGGGAGGUAGAGGUCGCCCUAGAGGGGGAGGCUAGGCCAGAUGAGCCUUAGGAACCUUAUUAUGCAUCUCCAGUAUCUAGUGUGCCUCCUACACGGGGUGCUUUUAGAGGUUAGUCCAGCAGACCUGGCCCGAGCCAGUCACAACCGUCACGUCUUCCCAAAGCUUNNNNNNNNNNNNNNNNNNNNNNNNNNNNNNNNNNNNNNNNNNNNNNNNNNNNNNNNNNNNNNNNNNNNNNNNNNNNNNNNNNNNNNNNNNNUUGUUUUAAGUGUGGUGGCACACGCCAUAUGGUGAGGGAUUUCCCUAGACUUGGGAGGAGUGCACCUCCACAGACUUCUCGGCCACAGCAUGCCCCACAGAGUUCUCAGGCUAUGGUUACAGCUCCAGUUGCUACUCCACCUGCUCAGCCAACUAGAAGUGGAGGUCGGGGAGGUAGAGGUCGCCCUAGAGGGGGAGGCCAGGCCAAAUAUUAUGCCCUUCCCGCCCGUACCGAGGCUGUCACCUCUGAUUCUGUCAUCACAAGUAUUGUCCUAGUUUGUCAUAGAGAUGCAUCGGUUUUAUUCGAUCCAGGCUCCACCUAUUCUUAUGUGUCUUCUUAUUUUGCUCUGUAUUUGGGUGUAUCUCGGGAUUUUUUGAGUUCUCCUGUUUAUGUUUCUACUCCUGUGGGAGAUUCUCUUAUUGUGGACCGCGCUUAUCGGUCGUGUGUGGUUGCUCUUAGUGGUUUUGAGACCAUAGCUGAUUUAUUAUUGCUCAGCAUGGUAGAUUUUGAUGUUAUCUUGGGCAUGGACUGGUUGUCACCCCAUUAUGUUAUUCUUGAUUGUCACGCCAAAACUGUCACGUUGGCUAUGCCAAGUGUACCGCGAGUAGAGUGGAGGGGUACCUUAGAUCAUACUUAUAGUAUAGUUAUUUCAUUCCUUAAGGCUCAGUGUAUGGUUGAGAAGGGGUAUGAUGCAUGUCUAGCUUAUGUGAUAGAUGUCAGUAUUGAUACCCCUACAAUUGAUUCAGUCCCAAUAGUACGGGAUUUUUCUGAUGUGUUUUCAGCUAAUCUUCCGGGCAUGCCGCCCGAUAGAGAUAUUGGUUUUGGCAUUGAUCUAUUGUCGGGCACUUAGCCUAUUUCUAUUCCUCCAUAUUGUAUGGCCCCUUCUGAGUUGAAGGAGUUGAAUGAUCAGUUGCAGGAAUUGCUUGAUAAGGGUUUUAUUCGGUCCAGUGCAUCAACUUGGGGUGCUCCUAUCUUGUUUUUGAAGAAAAAGGAUGGUUCUAUGCGUGUGUGCAUUGAUUAUCGCCAGUUAAACAAAGUUACAGUAAAGAACCGUUAUCCUUUGCCCCGUAUUGAUGAUUUGUUUGACCAGUUACAGGGUGCACGAGUGUUUUCUAAGAUUGACUUGCGUUCAAGUUACCAUUAGUUGAAGAUUCGGGAUCCAGAUAUCCCGAAGACUGCUUUUAGGACUCGAUAUGGUCAUUACGAGUUCCUUCUUAUGUCAUUUGAGCUGACCAAUGCCCCAGCAUCCUUCAUGCAUUUGAUGUACAGUGUGUUCCGUCCAUAUCUUGACUCAUUCGUCAUUGUAUUUAUUAAUGAUUUCUGGUAUACUCUCGGAGUCGGGAAGAUCAUGAGCAGCACCUGAGGACAGUGCUUCAGAUUUUGAGGGAAAAGAAGUUGUAUGCAAAGUUCUCAAAAUGUGAGUUUUGGUUGGAUUCCGUGGCAUUCUUAGGCCACAUGGUAUCGAGUGAGGGUAUUCAGGUGGAUCCGAAGAAAGUGGAAGCAGUGCAGAGUUGGCCCAGACAUCCUUAGCUACAGAGAUCCACAGUUUUCUUGGCUUGGCAGGUUAUUACCGUCGAUUUGUUGAGGGUUUUAAUCUAUUGCAGCCCCUAUGACCAGGCUGACCUAGAAGGGUGCUCCGUUCCAAUGGAUGAAAGAGUGUGAGCCGAGCUUUCAGAAGCUCAAAACAGCUUUGACUACAACCCUAGUUUUGAUAUUGCCUACAGGUUCGGGGUCUUAUACUGUCUGUUGUGAUGCCUCGAGGAUUGGCCUUGGAGCGGUAUUGAUGCAGGACGGUAGGGUGAUUGCCUACGCAUCCAGACAGUUGAAGGUACAUGAGAAGAAUUAUCCUGUCCAUGAUCUCGAGUUAGUUGCGAUUGCUCACGCCUUGAAGAUCUAGCAUCAUUAUUUGGACGGUGUGCCUUGUGAGAUUUAUACUGAUCACCGGAGUUUGCAACAUCUGUUCAAGCAGAAGGAUCUUAAUUUGUGUUAGAGGAGGUGGUUAGAGCUGCUGAAGGACUAUGAUAUUACUUUUUUGUAUCACCUGGGCAAGGCCAAUGUGGUGGCCGAUGCUUUGAGUCGCCGGGCAGACAGUUUGGGGAGUUUGGCUUAUUUACCAACAGCGGAGAGGCCCAUGGCAAUGGAUGUUCAGGCCUUAGCCAACCAGUUUGUGAGAUUGGAUCUUUCGGAGCCUAGUCGGGUUCUAGCUUGCGUGGUUUCUCAGUUUUCCUUGUUUGAUCGUAUCCUGGAGCGUCAGUUUGAUGACCCUCAUUUGCUUGUCCUCCUGGACAAAGUUUUGCACGGUGAUGCCAGAGAUGUGACUAUGGGUGAUAACGGGGUAUUGAGGAUGCAGUGUCGGGUAUGUGUACCCAAUGUUGAUGGGCUUCGAGAAUUGAUUCUAGAGGAGACCUAUAGUUCGCGGUAUUCCAUUCAUUCGGNNNNNNNNNNNNNNNNNNNNNNNNNUUACUUCAGCAGAUAGAGAUUCCGGAGUGGAAGUGGAAGAGGAUCACCAUGGACUUCGUAGUUGGACUCCCUACGGACUUUGAGUAAAGUUUGAUGCCUUUUGGGUAAUUGUGGAUCGGCUGACCAAGUCCGCACACUUCAUUCCUGUAUGUACUACCUAUUCUUCGGAGAAAUUGGCGGAGAUUUAUAUCCGGGAGAUUAUUCCUCUACAUGGUAUUCCAGUUUCCAUCAUUUCAGAUAGAGGUACUCACUUCACAUCAUAGUUCUGGAAGGCCAUACAACAUAAGUUGGGUACUCGGGUGGAGUUGAGUACAUCAUUUUACCCUCAGAUGGACGGAGAGUCUGAGCGCACUAUUCAGAUUCUUGGGGAUAUGCUCUGUGCGUGUGUGAUUGAGUUUGGAUGGUCUUGGGAUCAGUUCUUUCCAUUGGCAGAGUUUGCCUACAACAACAGUUAUCAGUCCAGCAUUUAGAUGGCACCGUACGAGGCUUUAUAUGGUAGGCGGUGUAGGAGUUCAUCCGGUGUUUCAUGCUUCAAUGCUCCGGAAGUAUCACGGUGAUCCGUCACACAUGUUGGAUUUCAGUUCAGUCCAGUUGGACAAGGAUCUAUCUUAUGUUGAGGAGUUGGUGUUAAUAUUGGAUAGGCAGGUUCGAAAGCUAAGGUCAAAGAACAAUGCAUCAGGGAAGGUUUAGUGGCGGGGUCAGUAGGUCGAGGAGGCGACCUGGGAGAUCGAGCAGGAUAUGCGCAACUGUUGCCCUCAUCUUUUCACUACUUCAGGUAUGUCUCUAUGCUCGUUAGACGACGAACGAAUGUUUAAGUGUAGGAGGAUGUAACAACUCGGCCGGUCGUUUUAAGAAUUAACGCCCCAAUCCCCUAUUAACUGCUUUCCCCAUGUUUGUUUCUGCUAUUUUGAUUUGCCGAGAUGUUUGGUUUUGAGUUUCGGAGUGUUAUGGGACACUUAUUCCCUAAAAGAGAGCUUAAGCUUUAGAAUUUGGACGGUAGUCAGAGCAGUGUGAAGAUGGCCUCGGAAUGGAAUUACGUCGAUUCCAUUAGCUCCGUUGGGUGAUUUCGGGCUUAGGGGCAUGUUCGGAUUGUAUUUUGGAGGUCCGUACCUUAUUUAGGCUUGAAAUACCGAAAGUUGAAUUUUUAAAGUUUCCGUUUCGAUAGUGAGAUUUUGAUAUCGGGGUCGGAAUGGAAUUUUGGAAGUUGGAGUAGCUCCGUAUUGUUGAAUGUGUCGUGCUUGCAAAAUUUUUAAGUCAUUUGGACGAGGUUUGAUAGACUUUUUGAAUGAAAGCGUAAUUUGAGAGUUUUUGGAGUUCUUAGGCUUUAAUCCUAUGUUAAAUUGGUGUUUUGAUAUUAUUUUGAGCGUUUUGAAGGUUGGAAAAAGGUUGAAUGAUGUUUUAGGAUUGGUUGGCAUGUUUGAUUGAGGUCCCAGGGCCUCGGGUGUGUUUCGGAUGCUCAACGGACCAUUUUUGGACUUGGAGAAGGAUCAGAAUUUUGCUCGUUUUUGUUGCAGACUUUUCUUCAUCGCGAUCGCGUGAGGAGGCUCGCGAUCGCGAAGGCUUGGAUGAGGCAGAGGGAAUUUUGUUCUACACGAUCGCGGGAAGGGGAGUGCGAACGCGUAGUAAUAGCAAGAGUUGAAUCGCGAACGCGUGGGCUACGCCGCGUUCGUGAAGAGGAAGGAGUGAGGCACCUGAGGAUUUGGAAGUUGCUCUUCGCGAUCGUGUGAGGUCAACCGCGAUCGCGUAGAGCUGAGCAGUGCAACAUCGCGAUCGCGUAGGGAUUAUCGUAUUCGCGUAGGGUUAAUUUGGGGGUCAGUGAUGUUGCUCCUCGCAAUCGGGUGGGAGUUUCCGCAAUCGCGAUUAAGGUCGCGUCUGGGCAGAACAUAAAGUUCAAAAUCGAGGGUUUGAGUUCAUAUCACAAAAUUGAAUUGGGAGCUCAGUAGGAGACGAAUUUUGGAGAGUUUUUCGGAGGGAGUUUGCGGGUAAUGAUUCUUAACUCCUUUUUGCUUAUAACCCACUAAUCUAAACAUGAAUUCAUCAUCUAAUUUCGGAUUUGGGGUGAGAAAUUGGGAAAAAAUUUGGAAAAGUUCUUAGACCUAAUUUUUGAGUUUUGAUUGGAGAUUUGACAUCGUAUUUGAAUAAUUUUGGUAUAGUUAGACUCGUGAGUGAAUGAGGAUUCAUAAUUCGUAACUUUUACCCGAUUCCGAGACGUGGGCCCGCGGGGCGUUUUGGUCAUUUUUCCUAAUUUUACGUAUUAGCUUAUAAUUAAUUAGUGGAAUUAGUUACUUGAAGUUAUAUUUACAUUAUGCAAUUGAUUUGAAUAGAUUUGGACCAUUUAGAGUCGAGUACUCGUAGCAAGAGCAUGGUUUCGGGUUGAUUUUUGAGCCGGUUCGAGGUUAGUGGCUUGCCUAACCUUGUGUGGGGGAACUCCCCUUAGGAUUUAUUGUUGAUAUUUGAAAUACCUUGUACGUGAGGUGACGAGUGCGUACUUGGUCUAAUUGUUUUAAAUCAUGUUUUCAUUAAGUAACUAUAAUUGUGUUUUCUUUCCUGUUUAUACUACUUGUAAUUUAAACUUGCUGUUAGCUUAGGGAAGCAUGUCUAAUUGACUUAAUUGCUUUACUUACUCAAACUGCCUUAUUUGGAUUAUCUGCAGCAUGCUAGGUUAGAAGUACUUGUUUUACCUUGGUAUAAAAUUUGAAUUGAAUUGAGUAUUCUUCGUGUUACUGCUGUGUGUUUACUUUGGGACUACGGGACGGUAUCCUGGGAGAUCCCCCUGUCUGUUUACUUUGGGACUACGGAUUUGUAUUCCAGGAGACCCCCUGCACAUAUAUAUCAAUUUGGACUAUAGUGUGGGAUACCGAGAGAUCCCCAUCACGUAUAUUGAGGAUACUAAGAGAUUCUCGGGAUACCGAGAGAUCCCCAGCACAUAUAUUGAGGAUACUAAGAGAUCCCAGCAUACAUAUUGAGGAUAAUAAGAGAUCCUCGGGAUACUGCGAGAUCUCCGGUUGUUAUCUCUGUGUUGAGCUGUAUUCCUUCUGUGAUUAUUUUGUCUAUGUUAUACUCGUUGUUAUUCUUAUUAUCCUGUUUUACUUCGUAUUGUUAGCAUUUAAUUAUAUUGUUGUAUUCUAUACUAUUUACCUCGUUUUCAGCUAUAAUCAGUAGGGCCCUGACCUUCCUCGUCACUACUCUACCGAGGUUAGGCUUGACACUUACUGUGUAUCGCUGUGGUGUACUCAUGUCCUUUCUUCACAUGUUUUUCAUGUGCAGAUCCAGGUACUUUGACUCAGUCCUCCUACCCUUGAGGCGAGGCGAUUCUCCAGAGAAUUCGAGGUAUAUCUGCUGCGUCCGCAGACCGAGGAGUCCCUUUCCAUUCUCUCUCAUAGUAUUAGCCCUUAUAUAUUUACUUUUGUUUAGACAUUCUGGAGUUAGACACUUGUAGUUAUUCAACAACUUGUGAUUUCAUGAGAUUUCGGGUUUUGGGAAGUUGUUCAGUUUGAGAGACUAUAAUGUAUAUGCUGAGCGGCAUCUUUAAACUAUCACUAUGUUAAUUUCGCAGUUUUUAUUUGUUUUAUCUGUUGUUUUUCCCUUUUUUCACAAUUGUUAGGCUUACCUAGUCGUAGAGAUUAGGUUCCGUCACGAUAGUUCACGGAGGGCGAACUUGGUCAUGACAGCCUCCAAGAUCUGUAGUGCUUGUAAUGGUUUUCCUGUUGAUGACGUGGAGCUUUUUCCCUUCAUUAGUAGUGCCCCAAAUGAAAUUUCUUUGAAUUUGGCCUAUUUGUUUUUGAAUUUUUAUAGGUAUUAUAGUGUAUUGCAUUACAUGGUUUGGAAUAUUGUUCGAAUUUGAUUGGGCUAGAGUGGUACGACCCGCAAUAUUUAGAAACUUUAUUUUCCAGGCUUAUAGCCUGUUACACAUUUUGUCUAUAAUAAAUUGGAAGUCCUUUGCUUUUGGAUUUUUUUCCAAGAUUGGAAAACCAAGAUAUUUGCCAAACGAUUGGCUAAUCUUGAUGUUGAAGCCAUUUGCAAUGUCUCUAACCUUAGUUAUAGGACAAUUAUUGGAGAAGGUGAUUUUGGAUUUUUGAAGGUUGAUUUUUUGUCCUGAUAACUCGCAAAAGGAUUUUAAGCAGUUGUAAAUUGUUUUUAUAAUUUUUUAAUCUGCUCUAGCCAUAAGAGUAAGGUCAUCGGCAAAAAAUAAAUGGGAUACACCCAUAUCCUUGUUAGUUAAGUGAACAUGAUCCCACAUACAAGUAUCCACUCGAUUGAGAAUUGUUUAGGAUAACAUUUUCAUACAUAAGAUAAAAAUGUAGGGGGAGAGAGGGCAUCCUUGUCUAAUGCCCCUACUAGGACUAAAGAAUUUAGUUGUUGUUCCAUUGACCAGGAUAUCAAUCUGGCUAGUACAAAUGCAAUUCAUUAUUAAGCCUUUCAUCUUCGGGGGAAAGUUGAAAUAGGUGAGGGUUCGAUAAAUGAAUGACCAUUCAAGCCUAUCAAAAGCUUUUUCAAGAUCUAAUUUUAGAAUCGUGUUGUCUUUCUUGCCUUUUAUUUUUUUAAAUGGUUACACAUUUCUUGGAUAAUAAUUACAUUAUCACAAGCCCUUCUUCCUUUAAUAAAACUAGCCUGGAAGGGAUUAACUAUUUUAUUCAGGUGUGGGUGAAUCCUGUUUGCAAUUAUUUUGGUAAUUAUUUUAUAAAUUGUAUUACAGAGGCCUAUAGGUCUAAAGUUUUUUAAAUUGUUAGCGUUGGGCACUUUAGGAAUUAGGUAGAUAAAAGUAUUUUUGAUACCAUGAAGAAGGAUUUGGGUGUUAAAAACUUGUGGGCAGAGAUCAAUGACAGAGCGGCCUACUAUGUCCCAAUAUUUGUGGUAGAAAAAAGGGUGAAUGCCAUCGGGACCUGGGACUUUGUAUGGUUUUAGAGAGAAAAUGGCAUUGACAACCUCAACUGGAUGUAAUUGUUUGUCGAGGGUUGAGAGAUAUAUUUUAUUGAAAUUAUGAUUAUCCUUUUUUAUGCUAUUCCAAUUUGUCAUACUGUGGUUGGUAGUAAAAAUUCUCUGGAAAUAUUGGGUUGUAUGAACAAGGAUUAUGUUAGGGUCAUUUAUCUAGUUACCAAGGUUAUCUUUAAAAAAGUAAUUCUAUUUCUAUGAUGUCUAUUGGAAACCAUGAUAUGGAAAAAUCUAGUGUUUGCAUCUCCAUCAUGGAUCCAUGAAAUUCUAGCUCUAAGUUUCCAAUAGUCGUCUUCGGUUUUUUGGAUAUUGUUGUAUUCAAUUAGGAGGGUAUUUUCUAGUUAUUUAAGGAAAGGGCUAGUAGUAUAAUUUGAAGAGUUUUGAAUUUCUUUGAGUCUAGCCAAUAUUUUAUUUUUAUUUCUGAAGACACCACCAAAGUGAUUGUUUUUUCACUUUUUGAUAUUACUAAAGAAUUUGGUAGAUGUUACGGUAUAGCUAGUAUCAUUCCAGCUAUCCUUCACAAAAUUGAUAAAUUAGGGGCGCCUACACCAAAAUGUUUCUAGCCUAAAAGGUUUUUGGCCACUACAGUAUUUUAUUGGAAUAAUUUCUAUUAGACGGAGAUUAUGGUCAUAGUGUGUUUUAGGAAGAUGCGUUACAGUGGCCUUAAGGAAUAGACUAAUUCAUUCCUCAUUGGCAAAGACUUUGUCAAGUCUUUUCAUAAUUAGGCCGUUAUUUUUCUUCCUAUGAUUUGACCAGGUGAAUUUGCAUCCUUUAAACCCUAGGUCUAUAAGGUUGCAAUUAUUGAUACAAACCCACAAAAGCUUUGAAUGUUUUCUAUUAAUAAUUCUACCACCAAUUUUUUUAUUUUCACUAAGGACGUCGUUAAAAUCUCCUCCCACAAGCCAGGGACCUGUGUAGGAUGCAUGUUGUUCUAUAAGAUUCUGCCAUAUUUUAUUUCUCAGAACUUUAUCAGUAUUAGCAUAAAUAGAUGUAAAUAACCAAGACUUUUUUUGUA
rnacentral:lncRNA from 1 species